rnacentral:lncRNA from 1 species
AAAAAAAAAAAAAAAAAAAAAAACAUACCUCGCUCAAAAAAAAAAAAAAAUCCUUUUCCGAAACGUUUACCCUCCUCUUUCCUAUAAAAAAAAAAAUCAGUCAACCAAAAAAAUUUAAUCUCUUAUUUGCUUAAUUAUUUAUUUAUUUUGAGGCAUAAUAUAGAUUGCUAUUUUUUUUACUUAAUUAGAUUAUUUUUUUAGCUCUUUAUUCUUAUAUUCUUAAAAAAUAUGAGUAUUUUAUACCAAUAACAUAAAUCUUGAGAGAAAAAAAAAAUUUAAUUUAAUAGCCGAAUUUUUGAUUCCGAAUUUUUAAUUGAGGAACGUAUAAUAUCCGUAUAAAUCACGUAUCCGAAUAAUUGGCGAAUUCGUUUUUUAGCCGUAUUUUUUAACGAAUUUAAAAAUUAGAAGACGAAUUUUAUCCGAAUUAUAUCCGUACCGAAUUUUUGCCGAAUCCGAAUUAACUAACUAUGGUGCUGAGCCCCCGGCGUAACAGAUUAUUUGGUAUCAGCUAGGGGUUAAGUUUUAGGGGAGCCUAGCAGCCUUAGGCCUGUUGGAACUAUAGGAAAUAGCCUUGUGAGAGACGAGGUCGUAUUUCACUUGUGAGCGAAAGUAUCGAUGGAUUGGGUAUUAUGCUAAUCUAUAAAGUAGAGUUGAUUGGAUUGAUUUGGCUUUCUAACUUCGCGGUGGUUACGUUGGCGGCCGACAACGUAACAGCAUCCGGGAGUUAGUGGUGAUAACACUUCCUUACUUUCGUAUGAUUUUGGGUUUUACUUGAGCGGGGAAUGCGAUAAAUGCGUGUUUCACUGAACUUACGUACCCUUUAUGAUGUUGUAGUGACGAUGACCGAUUACUCGCUCCCAAUCUGCCGGGCGGACAAUACUGCAAACUUCGAGGAGUCGAGACCUCCGCUACCUUCCGGAUCCAGCGAGGUUCCGUGAGUGAGUGGCCAAGCUGCCGGCCUCUCACUGAUUUGGCCCUCAGCAGGCGGAGGCGGCCCUGACAGCAGACCGAGGCGGCGUGCUGACAGGAGAAUAGCAGCGGAUAAGCGUCUGAGGACUAUCUACUUAUUGCAGGCAGGCGCAGCAUUCCAGGGAGACUCAGCCCCUCACUGCGAGCACCAGUGUGGACAGCGAGCGCGGAGAGGCCGUCCCCGUUCCAGUUCUCGCGGUGCGCGCCUCGGCCGCACGCCGCAGGAGGAGGGUUUUGGUGGCACUACCUUGUGCUGAGGCCCCCCGAUUGAGCAGCUUUUCCUACCUUGGUUGAGGGGGCGGAACGAGUACCAGACUGAUGAGCGCCUCAACUAGUUUAGGCAGGUGUCAGUCCCCGAGUCUUCGACGGCCGAGAAAGUCGACACUGGAUCGUGGAGCAAGUGGUUAAUUGCAUAUGGAGAAGCUGCUUCCGCGACACCUUCCGUGGAGGAGCAGGGUGACAGAGUUUGGCUCGCAACCACCACUUGGACGGCGAGGACCUAACCGCUGGUGGUUGAUUUCCAAGGUUUAUCUACCCCAGCACUGACUUGGCAGCUAUCAUUGGACGAGUCAAGGAGGGCUUCUUCUCGGGCACUACUUCCAUGACCAGGCAUCAAAGCGGAAGAUGGACAAGAUCUGGCGCAACUUGCGCCAAGGCGACCGAGCCGUAGCUGAGUAACGAGAGGGAGUUUUCUCGGUUUUGCAUUGCGUGCCUUCCGUCGUUGCGGGCUUACCGACGAGGACAAGGCCCGCAUCUUCGAGUCGAGGAUUGAGACCCGUCUAUCUUCGUUUGUGGCAAUCUCUAGACCUCCAAACCUACCGAGUGUGGAUCGCGCGCUCUAUGUGUGGAAACGCGCGGCAGAAGUUCAGGAGUAAGUCGAAGCAUAGGGGACAAGGGUACAGGCCAAGAGGCCUCGCGACUGAGGUGCGAGCGACAGACUCACUCUAGAGAGGCCGCCGAAGCAUUCAAGAGCCAGCACCCGUGGGCGGCGGCUCAGCAGCACAGCGAGGAGAAAUACGAUCGCAGCCGGCCUUCCCGUGUGUGUUAUCUGCGGUGGUCCCGUCAUUAACUCACCGGCAGUGUCCCCACAGCGGGCGGCAGGUGUUUCCAGUGUGGCCAGGAGGGCCUUACGUCCGUACGCGAGUUUCCCGAGAGUUCGUCACGCACCGUCGACUCCGCAUCGGCACCGCUUUACCAGCCGUCACACAAUGGCGGGGCCUACGACUUCGUCGACAUCAGAUCAGCCUGGUGGCGCCAUCCGUCCAGCGCCAGUAACGAGGGAUCUCGACAGUCCCUGAGUGGGCCCAUCGCAUUAACGCGCUUCAGACCGAGGAGGCGGAAGCAGCCGAGGAGUGUUUGCAGGUAUUAUUAUUACUUGAUUGCAUUAGAGUUCGUGCUUUAUUCGAUACCGUGGUGCAUCCAUUCAUUUCAUAGAUCGCUGUUUGCACAAGUUGCAUGGCAAUCCCUUUGGUUUUCUUGGUUUGCAUAGCGGGACAUGUUUUGUACGCCGACACGUUUUGGAUAUGUAGAGAGUAUAGCCCCAGUUGCCCUGUUCGGGUAGAAAAUUGGUUAUGCCUGUAGAUUUUACUAGCUUUGCGCAAGAUGGGGGAUUUUGAUGUGGUGCUUGGGCAUGGAUUUGGGUUGACCAACGUAUUAUUCCAGCGAUUGGAUUCCAAGAAUCGCACGGUAGCUUUUAGAGAACUGGACAUGACCGCUGGUGGUAUUUUGUGGAUGCGCAGAGUUUUCGUGUUUGCGAUUACGAUCAGCUCGUCUCUCGAGCGAGGCAGCUGAUUAAAGUAGAGGUUGCGUACCUAUUUGGCUUAGUUGUGGUGUUUAAGGGGCGAGGAUGACACCCCUAGGAUCGAGACUAUCCCGGUGGUGCGGGGUUUUUUCUGAGAUGUGUUUUUCCAGCUGAGCUAGACCACGGGUAUGCCUCGUGAUAGGGAGAUUGAGUUUGUGGUAGAGUCUCGUCCCUGGACUACCCCAAUCUCAAAAGGCAACCCUAGUAGGAUGGCACGCGGCCAGAGCUGAGGGAAGCUGAGGCACAGCGGCAGGAUUUGUUGCACAAAGGCUUAUUCGUACCGGUGGCGUUUCGCCCUUGGGGAGCACCAAGUUUUGUUCGUUAAAAGAAAGGACGGUCAUUCUUCGCCUUUGGCGUGGAUUAAUCGUGAAACUUAAUAAAGUCACGAUCAAGAACAAGUAUCCGUUGCCUGAGGAAUCGACAACAGUUGUUUAAUCAUGUGCUUCAAAGGGAUGCAUUGUGUGUAUUCCAAGAUCUGACGUUGCAGUCGGAUACCACCAGUUUGAAGACAAGCGCGAGACGUAUCAAACGACGGGUUCCAGUGACACGGUAUGGAGCAUUAUGAUUGUCCACAGUUAUGCCGUUCGGUUAUUUUUUUUUUUUUUUUUAUAACUAAUAUGCCCGGUCGCACUUUUAUGGAUCUAAAUGAACCAUUGUUUUCAAAAGCCGUAUCUAGACAGGUUUCGUCGGUGGUGCUUUUCACAUCGACGAUAUUUUGGUCUACUCCGAAGUGAUGCAGAUCACUGAGGAUCAUGUUAGGAUUGUACUCCAAGUACUUCGGGACAAGGAGCUUUAAUGCGCAAGUUGAAGAAUGUGAAUUUUGGGCUUGAGAGGUAUCUUUCCGCUUAAGACACUUGAUUUCGGGAUCGGUGUAUAUGGCCGUUGAUUCCCAAGAAGAUUGAAGCAACUAAAGGAUUGGCGAACCGACCGAGCGUCAAGGAGAUACGGAGCUAUCUUGAUUGGCCGGUACUACUGGAGAUUCGUUGAUACGGAUCUUGCAAGUUAUCUACUCCCCUAUUCACGAGGCUCCACGCACAACAGGAGUCAAGUUCAUUUGGAAUGGACGACGUGCGAGCGAAGCUUCGCAAGAGUUGGAAGCUAGAGAAUGACGGACCGUUUCCGAUCUUGACCCUACCAAGUCAGCUGGAGCAGGGAUUGGUUUAUAGUGAUGGCUUACUUAAAUGGAUUGGCCUGUGUAUUGAUGCAGGAUGCAAAGGUGGAUUCGCGUAUGCUUCCGCCAACUAACGUGGAUUAUGAGAAAGAACAACGGAACGCAUGAUUAUGGAUUGGCGGCCGUAGUGUACGUUAUUGGCUAUGGCGGCCACUAUCUUUAUGGCGAGCGUGUGAAGUAUACAUCGGAUCACAAGAGUUUACAGUAGCUGUUUACUCAGCAAGGGUUGAACCUGAGAGCAAGGCCGAUGGUGGAGCUACUUCAAGGAUUAUGAUCUGAGUAUUCUUGUAAUCCACUCGGCGCAAGGCUAUACGUGGUGGCGUAUGCGCUAAUAGGAAAUCGAUGAAACAACUUAGGCUUAUGCAUGUUGUGACGCAACUGCAGUGAUCGACAAUGAAGCGGUUUGAGUUGGGAUUAGUGACUCCUGACAAAUUCUCGCCUAUAAGAUUGAUGACAUUGGUGUGCAAGUCCUACAUUGUUGAUAGAAUUAAAGAAAAGCAAGCCUUUCUGAUGUGGAGUUGCAAAAGAUGCCGAGGUAAAAGGUUGAUGGUUGCAACCGGUGACAUUCGCUUUUUGGACGAUCAGGGAUUGAUGCGUUUUCGUGGGCGGUAUUUGUAUACGCCGCGGACAGAAAUUAAAGAAACCAUUUCUUAAGAAGCGGCACCGAGCGCCAUAAUGUAUCAUUCCGGUGGCACCAAGAGUACAAGGUAUCUAAAGUGCUCUAGUGGUGGGCCCGGGAUGAAAAAAGAACGUUGGCGAGUUGUACUUGUUGUCCUAAACUUGCCAACAAUGUAAAUGGCAGAGCAGCCGAUUAUACCGCGGGGAAGCUUCAGAAGUUACUAUUCAGUGUGGAAGUGGGAGAAGAUCACCAUGGACUUUGUGACAAUGAUUGCCAACGCUCACUAGGCGGGUCAUGAACGCUAUGUUUGGUGAUCGUGGAUAGGUUGACGAAGUCGCGUCACUUCAUAGCCUAUUCAUACGACUUGGACCGGAGAGAUACUCGCAACAAGUGUACUUGAUGAGAUUGGUGGCGACUUCAUGGGAGUGCCUACAUCUAUUGUAUCGAUGCGCGAGGACAUCGCGUGUCGUGUCUCACUUUUGAGGAGUCUACAAGACGCCUUAGGCACUCGUUUGGACUUCAGUACUGCUUUCCACGCCCUUUCAGCUCAUUAUAAAUAUAAAACAGAGUGAUGGGCAUUCAGAGCGCCCCUAUUCAGACUUAGAGGAUAUGCUCCGAGCAUGUGUGAUAGACUUCCAGGAGGAUGUCGCAGCAUCUACCUAAUGGCGGAGUUUGGCUUAUAACAACAGUUAUCAAGCAAGCAUCAGAUGGCGCCCUCCGAAGCACUUUUAUGGACGGAAGUGUAGAUCGCCGCUAUUCAUUGGAUGUGAAGUCUGCGAGAGACUGCUUGGGCCCUGAUUGUGCGUCCAGGAAUGAGGAACAAGGUUCGAAUUGCUCGGAGCGACUUUUGACCGGCGCAGAGUAACAGAGAGCUACGCCGAUCGAACGAGGCGAGACUUGGAGUUCCAAUUGGAGACGCAUGUUUUCUUGAGAGGUCUCGGGUCCGAUCUAGCGGAAUCAAGAGAUUCGGGAUUCGGGGAAAUGUUGAGCCCUUUCAUUGACCGUAUGAGAUCUUGGAGCGUUAGUCCGGUACGCGUAUCGACUUGCUCUAAUCCGCCGAAUCUAUCCGGCGUGCAUAACGUCUUUUCAUGUAUGCUGGUGCCUUCGGAGGUACAUUUAUGACUCAGCCACGUUUUGGAGGCUAUAUCCGUGAGCUGCGCGAGGAUUUGAGCUCAAAGGAGGACAAUUCCUGUGAAGAUUCUAGCUCAAGAAUGAAGCUGUCGAUCGGGAUAUUCCGUAUGUGAAGGUCCUUUGAGGCAACAACGGUGAGCGGGAGGCCACGUGGGAGCUGGAGAGCGCUUUGCAGGAGAGCUAUCCCAUCUUUUUCAGAUGGGAGUCUUGAGGUAUGACUUUGCUUUCGAGUUUCGGCGAGGAAAGGAAACUCCUCUUUUAGGAGGGGUUGAAUGUAACACACUGGACGUUUGCAAAUUGUAAGGUUCGAGUGUUUGACAAAUUUGUGUGUCGAGCUUUCGCAAGCUUUCUGGUUGGUCGUUGACAGUGGUCCGACUACUGGCUUCAGUCGAGAAUUUGUUUUUAACUUGGUAGCCAAAAUCCGAAAAUUAGAGCAUUGGACAGCUCUCAGGUUGCCUGCAGCAAGAGCUUGGGAACCGGAAGCAAGUUGGUCUUGUACCGUACAGAGGAUUGAUGGUUUACCGGUACAUGCGCAUACGGCUUGUACCGGUAACAUGAGCCGCAGACGCCGGGCGACCCGAGCCUCGGCGUUUGCAUUUUCAGUGGGCCUUGUAACCCGUACAAGAACCCGUGUAGUACGUACAAGGUGCAGAUUUUUCGUGGCCAGUUUGAACUGCAUGGGGGUUUUUCGCAGAUUGUAGCCUAAUCUUAUAACAGCACCCACGCCCUUAGGGGCUUCUUUUUGUGCUUGGGACCUGAGGAGGAGAAGGUGAGACAGGAGCUCCACCUACUCCACCUUGUAUUGAUCUCCGUUGUAGAUGGAUUUUGAUGGAUAAUACCCUUUUCUUUUCCUCUUUUAAUUAUGGCUUUCCACGCAUUGAUGGGAGCUAGAAGCUCUGGAUUUGAGGCUUGGUGAAGGAGGGAUCUUUGGACUUGAUGGUUUAGAGCUUGGAUUGGAGGCAUUUUAGAGGUAAAUUGACUUGAUCUUUUCUCUCAAUUCCUAGCUUUAUUGUUGUUUUUUGAAUAACCUAGAAUGAGGUUUUAAGGGCUUAUUUUGGGCAUGUUUGAAUCUAGGCUUUUGAGGCUAGAUUGUUGGGAUAGAGGCUUCCAUUUGUUGGAUUGGAAGGCUCUGAGCUCUCUUUUAGAGCUUUAGAGUGAGAUUUUUGCAGCUCAGAGGUGAGUUUUCCUCACCUAUCGCUUAUUAGCCUUAAUGAUUGAUCUAGGUAUUGUUCGUUUGCUCGUGACACAUGUUUCUAUAGCCUCUAGGGUACUAGGAGACUAGAGGACACCCUCUGUGGAGUGAACGAAGAGUUUCGUUUCAUUCGGUGGGUUUGCUUCGGAAAAUAGGGCGAAAUGGCCCUAUGCUCUUUUGUACUUGGUUUAAAAUUUUUAAAUUCAUUUCUAUAUCUAAAAUGAAAUUUAUAUGAAUUUUAGAGCACUUAAAAUGCAUGCUUGUAUUAUGAAAAAUUCACUAUAUGAUAUCGUAGAGCUAUAGAGUAGAUUGCAUGCAUUACGGAAAAAGUGUUCAUUUGCAAGUGGACAAUUGUAAUCUCUUAUGAGGAAUCGUGACUUGGAACCAUGUACUUUCGAAAACAUAUUCCAUGUUGGCCUUGACAUACGAAAAACAAGAGUGUCAAAUCAGGGCACUCUGAAACUAGUAAACUAUUGAACUGCAAUAUAGAGACAUAUUGAUUAGCCCACUAAAACGUAAUCUGUUGUAUCUAUGUAGAUGACAUGAUGACAUACGAAUAGGCCAUUGAGAAUACGCGAUAUAUUCCAUGUUGUAACAUGAGAUUUUGUAAGCUUGAGACGGAUCAUUCUUGCUUGCGCAUUUUGCUUUCAUCUCGCACAUGCUUGUGAGGGUUCGCUCCAUACAACCCCGCGCACUCCGAGAUAGCAUCGCGACAUUAUUCGCCCGGCGGGAUUGGCGCCGAGUUGGAGUGCCGUGGGGAGGCUAAUCUCCUAAAGUGGUGAUGUUGACUACGACACGGCAUAGGCACGGCGCUAGGCCUGGAGUGGCGGGGCGCGAGACAGCCUCGGGUGGGUCUUAUAUGAUUGGGACUUCUGGUGACAGAACAGCUAUGAACUUUAUAACUACUUAAAGUGGACUUGGCCUAGAAUAGUAAACAUGACAUUUUUACUAUUACAAACAUUGUGGACUUUAGUAGUUGCAAUAAACAUGCCUUAUAAUUUGGGGUUCAUGUGCAUAUGAGCUAGUAGUUGCUUCUCCUUAUUAUGUAAAAUUAUGCUAAAGUAGAGGUAUUCAUGAUUGAUUGGGUUACUCGUUAUUUAUAUCCGCUUACAGCAGCCGCAUUUAUCGGCCUUUUGUUAUAUGUGUACACUGACCCGUUUUUCUGUAGUUUCGGGCCUAAGCAAAUGAGCAUCUAUCGAAUGAAUGUGGCAUGCAUCCAGUAUCGAAUAAAGUCUAGGCUCUAGUGCCCUCUGAUCGAGAUAAUACGCCUACCACGAGUCGUCGGGGACGGAAUCGGCUCACUCCUCCACCUUAUGUGGCAACCAGAACGUCUAGGUGGUUUACUCUUUAUUUUGUAGUUGAGAGAGUGAGAGGUUUUGUAUCCAUGUAUAGAGACCACCUGAGUAACUACCUAUAGCACUUGUAUCUGGAAUUUUCUUGUAUCACUUUAUGUUUUAUUUAGUGGAUUUACAGUUCUAUCCUUAUCCCUUGUUGUAGCAUUAAGACAUUUAUUAUGCUCUGAUACUCCUAGAUGUCUUUUAUUAUUGCUUUUAUUAUUGUUGUUUGUAGACGCCUUAUAUGUUUUAGACGUAUGGCGGGUCUGGCACGCGCCGGGCGGGCUUCUGCUGGGUCCCGGGGCGUGACAGGACCACAUGGAGGUCCGCAGACGGUCCCGGGCUUGGAUGCACUUGGAGCUCCCUCCCCACCUUGGGAUUGAAAGGUGAGUUAUUGGCGAACCCUAGGGCUUCGCCACAGAUUGGGUAAAAGAACAGUGAACAUUUUCAUUGAACAUUAUUCUUCAAACAUGGAUCGAAUUCGUUAGCAUGAUAGUAAACCUUUACUAUUUGAUGCAUUGUAUGAGUUUUAGUUGCAUCCCAGUUGAGUGGAUUUACGGCUGAGGUGCAUGUGAGACGUCCUUCACCUUGGGCCUGGCUCUGUGCGGUAUUCCGCGUGUGAUUUACUCAAGACCGAGUCGAGUGGAUAGCUUAUAAAAGCAUGUUAAACCCUAUGAGCAGAAUUGUAAUUGACAAGAAUCUAAGAUAGAGGAAAACUUAGAAGUCAAUUGGUUGAACUGUGAAUAAUAAGAAUAAAAGUAGUAUCGAUUGAACUACUAGUUGGUUGCAUGGUUGCAUAAACUGCAUGAAUUUCAUAUUGCAUAUUGUGAGGCACAACAUGUAUUUCAAUACUUGAAUAUAUAUAUCUGUUGGAUAUCUGUUGGACUAACAUAUUGCAGGGCCUUAGACCUAUUGGUCGAGCUUUUUCCCUUAGGUGGCCGUACCCACUGGGAAUCAUGGAGUUGGUUCUCACCCUACGUUGUUUUGGGGUGUUACAGGUUCGCACGUGAGCGGCGCGGCGGCGCAAGGCGAGGGCGUAGCUCCAUAGAUAGCGCCCUACCCCAGAGAGACCAGAGAUAGAGGUACCCCGAGUCGGCAUAGCCUAGGGGUAGAGGGAAAAGAAAAAGAGCAAACUUGUAAUAAUAUUACGAUCAUUAAUUGUAUUUGGAAGAAAAUGUAAUGUAAUAAUGCUAAUGUGAUGUAAAAAUGAAUCUAAUGGGAAUGCUUGUAAUAACAUAGGAAGUGUUAUGUUGUUUGAUACCUUCCUUAUGCAAUCUUGCUUGAAUACUGUUCUUGGUUGGAACUUCUUGUACUUGUAUUGAUUGCGACGCCUAGGACGUACAGGGGAGACUCUGUCCGUUUUGCGGUCUGUCGGCGGCGCCGCGACCUCGGCCAAAUAGGCGGGUGGUCGCGGGUCGUGACACCCGCCCACUCGGUGCCCUCGAUGCCUCCGGCUGAGGCGAUGAAGAUGAGCGUCCAGCUGACAUAGCCGGCGGUAAUCCCGCCUGCUGCCUCAGGGUAUAAGGAACUGAUGCCGGGGUCGGUGCAGAUUAACCCCAGCUAGGGCACUCUCGUGAUACAUCCCUAGGUUGGCCACACUUGAAGCAUUUUCCCUUCCGCUGAGGGCAUGACGGCGGUUGAUGGUUGCCGCCGCAAAUAACACAACGAGAUAGCCUCCAACCCCUCAACUACUGUCGGGGAUACCGAGGGGGUUUCUUAGCAUUUGGCCGGCCCCCGGUGCCACCCGCCGUUCGCUUCUUGCUCUUCUCCUUUGCCUCGGCUGCGGACUCGCGCUCCUCGCGUUCGUGGGCAUAACCAUGCUCCGCCCACAGAGCUCGAUCAAAGACCUCCGCAAAGGUCGUGAGCUUAAGGAUUUGCACGGCCCUAUGAAUCCCCUGCCGCAAUCCUCGUAGGAACCAGUCUGCUCGAUCCCGGUCAUCCCUAACAACAUCCGGGACGCAGUCAAUGAGGUGGGACAACUCCUGUUCGUAGUCUGCCACGGAGCGAUCCCAUUGCCUCAAUUUGUGGAAUUUCUCUUGCAACUUCUGCUUCACCGUAUCGGGGAAGUAGUUGGCGAACACCGCCCUCUGGAACUCCUCCCACAACAUAGGCGGAAGAUCGGGUGAACGAUCCCACCUAACACGCUUCCACCACACCUUCGCCGCUUUCUCCAGGCAAUGUGUGGCGAGAUACACCUUGUCCUUCUCCAAGGUGUUAAGAUCCUCGAAAAGUGUUUCCAUGGAGUCGAUCCAGGACUCCACCACCGCCGGUUCCACCACCCCCCCUUCGAAGGUAGGUGGGCUGAACUUCUGAAACUGAAUGAGAGCCGCCAACGCGCGCUCCCGCUCCGCCUCCUCCGUUGCACUAUCGAGGUUUGAGAUCCCCGAUCCAGCCGGCACCAUCAUAACUGGCACGGUCGCCACACCCUCGGCCGCACUCGGCACCACUGCAGGAGGCGCAGGGUGCACGGCCUCCACGGGCGCCGCCGCCGCCGCCUGCUGCCAUUCCAAGGCCUCCUGGAGCCUUUGGAUUUGCUCCUCUUGGCGCUGAACGGAUUCCUCUUGGCGCUGAACAAAUUCCGCCUACUGCCGCACUACGCCAAUAAGCGCGACCAUCUACUCCCGAAGCUCCCCGCCGCCGCCUGCUCCGGGUUGCACGGGAGCCGUACUUGACUCCUCGACCAUAGACCUCGUCUGCGGUCGACCACGAGGUAGCUUAGGUCGUCCACGAGGGGGCAUUGCUUCCUAAAACGAAGCGACUCACGUUAGUUACAUAGACAACAUACUCGAUUAUACCCAAUCCGGCGAAGGCAUAUAAGUGUAUUCGUUUUCAUUCCAGAGCGUCAUGUCGUCGGCCGCCGAUCAUAACACAAGGAAAAGAAAACAGAUAACAACUUAAGUUUAGUCCCUAUUCACAUUAGAGACAUAAUUACAUCAACCCAAUCCAUGCCUUCGCUAUAACUUGUUUAACGUCACUCACGUUUCCUAGAUCUUUAAGGUUUCCAUUCCUAAGGAUCUCUAGGUCCAUCCUAUGCUUUCACUUUUUGGCUCUUUACGCUCGAGUACCAUCUUAUCUGUCACGCCCCGAGCCCGAUCCUUUUGGCCGGUUCGAGAGCGUCGAACAGACGCUGAACGGACAGAGCCUCCCCUAUCCGCCCAAGGCUCAACAACAAGUAUCAAUAGAGUAUAAAGUUUGCAUAAGCGGAAGUAUACACAAUGGCUUGCACGAGGGCAAGCAAUAGCCAAUAGUGAGAGUAAUAAACUACACUUAGGAAAAUCACUUACAUUUUUGCAUCAUUUCUUCUUUAUUUACAUCUCAUAUCUCGAAAAUAUAACUUUUGACAUUUAAAGUAAAUAUCCUUUACAUCAUCUAUUUUAACAUGUUCAUGGUACUAAAAUCAUCAAAUACAAAAGAUGAGAUAUCGAAAGGGUAUGCAACUAAGAAAUAAAAAGUCUUGGGCGGUCUCUACCUAGGGCGCGAUGCCUUUACCGCGGUCGUCUGCAGGCUCGCUCGGUCCCGGCUCUGUGGAAAUAGGGGUGCGAGAACUACAACAAAGUUCCCAGUGGGUUCAGCAACCAACCACGCCGACUAUCCCACUGGGUCUAAUCAGGCAUAAUAGAAUAGAAGAAAGAAAGUAACCAACUAACAAAUGCAACUAAUAUGCCUGAACAAUAUUAAAAUGCGAUGCUCGAUAUAAUGUUCAUGAUGAAUGCAAGAUUACAAUUUCUUUACCCAAUCUCUUGGCUAACCCGUCGGUUUCGCCCUCAACAAACUCACCAACCCAAAAUCCUAUUAACCGGGGAGAUACCCGCUACAACCCGAUAGGACCGUCCUCUGGGAGAUACCCGCUACGACCCAGUGAUGUCGACUCCGGAGCACAUCGCCCGAGGGGGAGCUACCAACCUCGAGCAAGGAUUAAAGGUGAGUACGAUUAAUCCUACAUUGAGGAUUCCAAGUUCAAUCCAUUUCUUAACUUAAGGAAGACCAUGCUCAAUGACCCUUAACUCUAAGGUUGAAAUGUCAUAAUAUCUCAAUCAUUCUUUUCUUUGCAUUCUUUACCAACACUAGUGUCAUAUACACUACCAAGUUCUUGUACUCAUGUCACACUUGUUUUCUAAGUGCUAUGUUCUUGUUCUCAUGCCAAAUGCCACACUUGUUUUCUAAGUGUUCUAUACUCAUCAAUGUCAUUCUCUUGAUCUGUGUCUAUGUGUCACUUUUGUUCACUAACCCUUCUAGGUUCUUGUUACUUGUCAUGCAUAAAUAGGGUUUACAAUUCUCACAUUCUUACAAGUAUUUCAUACGAAAUUAAGUUCACAAUCAUGCCAUAAAAGCUCACAAUUAACCCUACUAUGCAACAUGCUCAAUAUGUACAUAUAUAUUCAAACAUGACACUUUAGACAUAAAGAAAUUUUCGAGGUUCUUGGAAUGCACCACCGACCUCGAGUGGUUGUGUGGGUAUAGAAUAUGACGACUCCCGAACUUUACGAAAGCCGAUACCGUGACCUACAACCAAAAUAGUGCAACUUUAGGCCUUCUGUACAUGAACCAUACUUAAACAUUUUCGUAACGUCGAACAGAGUUGUCCAACGCGUUGAGGACACCCCCAAUUAGGUUUCUACGAGGUUAAUUCGCCCCCGAAAAACCCUAGGGCAAAAGCCCCAAAUUUGGUGCCCUAACCAAACCUAUUGCUAAACCCUAGGUUUUAAUCCCUGAAACAAGCAAAAGAGAGCUUGUCUAAUCUCUAGAAGCUCAUUUAGAACCAUCCGAACCAUCUCUAGGGCUUAAAAAGCAAACUCUAGAAAUCCCCAUUAGAGCACCAUGAAGAAAACUAGAGUUUCAUGAUGUUCAAAGCUCUACAACUCUUCUAAAGCCUCUAAAGAGACCAAAACUCCAAAAUCUAAGGUUAAACUCCAAACCCUAGAGCUCGACAUGCUAAAAACUUACCUUGGCCCAAAUUCUAGCAAGCUCCUUCUUGUUGGAGAGAUUCUAGACCCACCAAGUCCACCAAAAAUCCAUCCUCAAGCUUCUUCUUCUUCUCCUUCAAGCCCUAGGUUAUUUCUAGAAAGAGAGAGGAGACGAAAUGAGAGGGAGAGGUGUGUGUGUGUGUGAAUGGCUGUAGAGGGAUAGGGGGUUGGGUAUAUAAGGUGUUGUAACAUUUACAACAAGACCCCUCCACUUUAUUCCCUGUGCACUGCCCAAACUAGGCAUUUUUCGCAGUGAGUGACCAGUCUCCCCGACCUAGGACCGAUCCCCGAGAGCUUCUCCCGCGGACUGCGCAGGCUGCGCGCGAUGCAACCGGUCUCCCUCGAUGUAACCGGUCUCUAGGGACCGGUCUCUCCUCGCAAGGACCGGUUCCCGAGAGCUGAUUUUCCAGGACUUAGCCGAUUUCUCGGCCAUCUUGCUGCCUACGCGUUCGGGGACCGGUCUCUCCCACCAGGAACCGGUCCCCAAGAGCACAAAACCUGCAGUUUGCAGAUUUUGAUUUCCAAAGCUCUCGAAGGUCCCCUCAAAUGCAUUUUUGCAUUAUUUGACGCCUUCGGCCUCUCCGAAGCGUACCAACCUCGCACUUUGGCCAAUUUGACCAAGGUUCGAAUCUAAUUACCGAGGUUUCAGUAUGUUACAGCAUCAAUAUGGAACUGUAAAACUAGCAUAAAGAGCUAGUUAGAAAUAAAAUUGUGGCAUCGUCAGUUAUUGAAUCCUCUAAGGGAGGAUUGGAUCAUACUCACCUAUUCAGUUUUGGCUUGGCGGUGGUCGCUCCCCCAAGCAGUGCACUCCGGAGUGUGUCAUUAACUGGGUUGAUCGUAUAAGCCUUCCCAGUAGACGAUCCUGUUGGGAGGCAGCUUAGGUCCCGAUACUUAGGGAUUGCAUUGGUGAGUUGUAGUUAACCAAUGGUUAACUCAGAUGAUUGGGUAAUGUUCAUUAAUAGCAUGCAUGCAUAUUUAUCAGUUGUUAUAUAUUGUUCAUUUCAGUUUUGUACAGGCAUUGUAGUAGUUACAUGUUUUAGUUGGUUACUAUCUGUACCUUUUCUUGCCUACAUAUGCCUGAGUAGACCUAGUGGGUGAGUCGGCGAGGUCGGCGGCCGAACCCACUAAAAAUUUUUAGUAGUUCUCACACCACUAACUAUAUAGGUUCUAGCGCGAGCGGUGUGGCCGAGGAUCGCGGCAAGAGCCCAGCAUCUUAGCUAGCAGACACCCGAGUUUAGUAGGAUACCAUUUUGGGUUUCAUGUUGUACAUAAUGAUAAAUAGAGAGACAAGUAAAUGUAUGUGUAAAUGAGCUGGCAAACGAUGUAAAUAACUAAAUAUUUCAGUUUUUAUGGUUUAGUUUAAAGUUUUGAAAAUACAGUGAAUGCAUAUUUAGUUAGUUUACUAUCACUUGUUCCUGUUGCUUGCCCUCGUGCAAGCAAUGUAUAUUGAAAUGUAUCCUAGGAACUGUUUAUUUCUUUAUACAUGUACUCGUUGUUGUUGAGUCUUGGGCGGACAGGAGAGAAGUGCUGUCCGUUCGGCGUCUGUUUACGGGUCCGGAUUGACCAAAUUGGCAAUAGCGGGACGUGAUAGAUAAAGUGGUAUCAGAGCAAGUGACAAGUAAAAGUCUAGGAUGACCUGGGGGACUUAGGAAUGGAAACCUAGGGACUAGGAACGCGAGUGGCAUGAAUUUAAUGAUAGCGAAAGCUAAAUAAAUUGGGUUAGUUGUUAGUAAGUUUCUAAUGUUAAUUAGGGGCUGAUCCAAGUGAUAUUUAUACGCAAUGAAAGGAGUUAUGUUGGUGGCCAACAACAUAAAGCCGAGGGUUGAGUAUAAAUACGCUUGAUUGCUUUCGCCUGAUUGGUUUUGUUUUAUUAACGUGAAUGUUGUGUUUUAGGAAAAAUGCCACCGCGGCGUGCAACGAGAUCCACUCCGGCAUCACCUUCUGGAGUGCCAGAGCAGUCCGGAUCUAGCGAGGUUCAGGAUUUGCGUGCUCAGGUGAGCGCGUUAGUCGAGGCUAUGCAGAGACAGGAGGAGCAUAUGAAGAGGCUGCAGGAUUUAGUGUCGCGACAGGCGACAACAGCUGCACCUGGGAGUCAGGAUGUACCUACAACUGAGGCGCCAGCGAUAGUGCCCCCUGCUCCGCCGACUGUUCCUCCUGUGGUUUCUGAGCCUUCUGUGUUAGAUGCGGCCGCAGUAGAGGCCGAACAUGAGCGAUCACUAGCAGUACUGACGACGUUUAUGCGGUUUAAUCCGCCUACGUUUGAUGGGAAAGAGGCAGAUCCAUGGGUAGUGGAGACGUGGCUUACAUCGAUGGAAGCAUUAUUUGAGGAUAUUUAUACCCUGGAAAAAGACAAUGUUCAUUUGGCAGCACACUAUUUCGAGAAGGAUGCAUAGAUUUGGUGGCAAAAGGCUAAGAAGAAUCGGGCUCCAAACCUGCCUCCAAUUACCUGGGAUGAGUUUCGGGAGCUAUUGUUUUUGGAGUACUUCCUUGAUAGUGAUAGAAGAAAAAUGAAAGAAGAUUUCCGCAAGCUAAGACAGGGAAACCGUUCGGUGCGGGAGUAUGAACGGGAGUUUACACAUUUGGUAAAUUAUGUACCAGGCAUGAUUCACAGUGAUCGAGAUCGAGCAGAGUGCUUCGAGCGGGGGUUGCGACCUGAAAUAUUCAAGGUAAUCAAUGCUUUGAAGUUAAAGACUUUUGAGGAAGUCCUGGAUCGAGCUCUUUGGGUAGAGCGCAGAAAUGCGAUUGCGCGUGAUGAACGCAAAUCGUUUGGCAGAGAAAGAAAAAGGGAGAAAGGAAAGAAGAGGACCACUAGUGGUGCUGGGGGACGGUCAAGCUCUAAACGGCCCUCUCGGUAUCCACGAGGUCAGUCGAGAUAUCAGGGACCCUCGAGAUGUGUGAUUUGUGGCGGAAAUCAUCGACCCUCAACUUGUCCACAGCGUGAGGAAAAGUGUUUUAAGUAUGGUCAGCCGGGACAUAUGAUCCGCGAGUGCCCCAGAGGAGCAUCAUCUGCCCAGUCUAUUGCUUCAGUUCAGGCACCCUCGAGGCAGCGUGCGGGUCUCCCACCCGCCAUGUCAGCUAGACGUUCUUUUGUGCCGCGUCAAUCCGAGACACCUCGACCUGCACCGAGUGGUCGUGUAUUUGCAGCCCAGGCAAAGGAGCCGGUAGUGGUCGAUGACGUCGUGGCAGGUAUUGUUUUAAUUUAUGGCAUUUGAUCUCGUGCAUUAUUUGAUACAGGUGCAUCACAUUCAUUCAUCAGUAGCUCAUUUGCUAAGACGCAUGAUAUUGAGAUUUCGGAUAGUGCUAAUGCCUGGUGGGUUUAUGCCCCUGAGCACACAUUUAGUGUCCAUGAGGAGUGUAUGGCAUGUCCAGUACAGGUGGGUGAUUAGAUUAUGCCAGCAGAUCUGUUAGUGCUAAACCGUAUGAAAGGCUUUGAUGUGAUCCUCGGGAUGGAUUGGCUUUCAAAGUACUAUGCCACGAUUGAUUGUGAAAGUAAAGUAAUUACUUUUCGUGAACCCGGGCUAAAAGAAGUUGUGUAUCGGGCAUGCAAGAGUUCGCUCUUUGCGUUGACAGUAUCGACGUUGAAAGCGAGGAAGUUGAUUAGUAGUGGAUGUGCGGCUUAUUUGGCAACAGUUGUGGAAACUCAAAAGGAACUUCCAGCACUUGGAGAUAUUCUAGUAGUUCGAGAGUUUCCCGACGUAUUUCCUGCAGAGUUACCGGAAUUGCCACCGGACCGGGAGAUUGAGUUCGUUAUUGACUUAGUUCCCGGGACGGCACCAAUUUCGAAGGCUCCGUACAGAAUGGCACCAGCUGAGUUGAGGGAGCUAAAAGCUCAGUUGCAGGAUUUGUUGGAUAAGGGCUUUGCGAAGCCUAGUGUAUCACCGUGGGGAGCUCCAGUGUUGUUUGUAAAGAAGAAAGACGGAACGCUUCAGCUUUGCGUUGACUAUCGCGAACUGAACAAGGUCACAAUUAAGAACAAAUAUCCGUUGCCACGAAUUGAUGACUUAUUUGAUCAGUUGCAAGGAUCACGGGUGUAUUCGAAGAUUGAUCUCCAAUCAGGUUACCACCAAGUGAAGAUCAAGCCAGAGGAUGUGCAUAAGACAGCGUUUCGCACUCGUUAUGGUCAUUACGAGUUCACAGUGAUGCCGUUUGGGCUUACCAAUGCCCCUGCAGCAUUCAUGGAUCUAAUGAAUAGGAUCUUCAAGCCACUGUUGGAUCAGUGUGUCGUGAUAUUUAUAGACGACAUCUUGAUCUUUUCUCGAAGCAAUGAGGAGCACGAUGAACACUUAAGAAUGGUGAUGCAAAUUCUGCGGGAGAAACAAUUGUAUGCCAAAUUAAAGAAAUGUGAUUUCUUGCUGCGAGAGGGAGCGUUUUUGGGGCACGUGAUUUCUGAGGGUGGUGUAGCUGUUGACCCGAAGAAAGUGGAGGCAAUUAAAGAUUGGCCUCGCUUGAUGACUGUUGCGGAGAUCCGUAGUUUCCUCGGACUUGGGGGGUAUUAUCGGCGGUUCAUGGAGGGAUUCGCGAAGAUUACUACUCCACUAACGCGCCUUACACACAAAGAAACUAAAUAUGUUUGGAGCGAAGAAUGUGAUCGUAGCUUUCGGGAGUUGAAAGAAAGGUUGACUUCGACUCCUAUUCUCGCCUUGCCGAUUACGGGGGAGAGUUUUGUGGUUUAUAGUGACGCUUCCUACAGUGGACUUGGGUGUGUACUUAUGCAGGGUGGUCGAGUUAUCGCUUAUGCGUCUCGCCAGUUGAAGAAUUAUGAAAAGAAUUAUCCUAUCCAUGAUUUGGAAUUGGCGGCGGUGAUUUUCACAUUGAAGUUGUGGAGACACUAUCUUUAUGGCGAGCACUGCGAGAUAUAUACAGAUCAUAAGAGCCUGAAGUAUUUAUUCACCCAAAAAGAGUUGAAUAUGCGACAAUGCCGGUGGUUAGAAUUGUUAAAGGAUUAUGAUGUUACAAUUCUAUACCACCCAGGGAAAGCUAAUGUCGUAGCGGAUGCAUUGAGUAGGAAGUAAGUUGAGAACUUGGCUAUGGCGAUCACACUUCAACCGUCGUUGUAGAAUGAAAUGCGGCGGUUUGAUCUUGAGAUAGUAGCUCCAGAGGUGCCAGCUAUUCUUGCCGCUCUAGUUGUUCAACCGACCUUGUUGGAACAGAUUAAAGAUCGACAAUCUUUAGAUCCGUAUUUCCAAAAGGUGCGGUGUGAGAUUGAGAGCGGGCGUGGUGAGGAUUUUGCAGUAGGGUCAGACGGAGCACUUCGGUUUCGAAACUGUUUGUGCGUGCCCAAAGACGAGGAAGUUCAGAGGGCUAUACUACAGGAGGCUCAUUAGUCACCUUAUAGUGUGCAUCCAGGUGGUACUAAGAUGUACAAGGAUCUCAAAGUACAUUAUUGGUGGCCUGGGAUGAAGAAAGAUAUUGGACAGUUUGUGGCGCAGUGUUUGACCUGUCAGUAAGUAAAAACUGAGCGUCGAUUUCCUGCGGGAAAGUUACAGAGCUUACCUAUUCCUGUCUGGAAGUGGGAGAAUAUUGCGUUGGAUUUUAUAGUUGGAUUACCUCAAUCGCAUGCGGGACAUGACAUUAUUUGGGUAAUUGUUGAUCGAUUGACGAAAUCGUCGCAUUUUUUGUCGAUUCAUACUACUUGGUUGGGGGACAAGUUAGCACAGGUGUACCUCAACGAGAUUGUGAGAUUACACGGAGUCCCGACGUCGAUUGUAUCUGAUCGAGACCCGCGAUUUACAUCUCACUUUUGGAGGAGUUUGCAGGAUGCUCUUGGCACACGUCUCGAUUUUAGCACGGAGUUUCAUCCUCAGACUGAUGGACAGUCUGAGAGGAGGAUUCAGAUUUUGGAGGAUAUGCUACGAGCGUGUGUACUUGACUUCAGGGGUGGUUGGCAUGAUUUCUUAGCGAUGGCCGAGUUCACCUAUAAUAACAGUUAUCAGGAAAGUAUCGCUAUGGCAUCGUUUGAAGCCCUCUACGGGAGGAAAUGUCGAUCCCCUAUUCAUUGGAGUGUGGUAGGAGAAAGGAUUGUGCUUGGUCCUGAUGUGCUCCAAGAAGCGGAAGGAAAGGUACGCUUAGUCCGCCAAAGAUUGUUGACGGCACAGUCACGGCAGCAAAGUUAUGCCAAUAAGCGCCGAAAGAACUUGGAGUUUGCGGUUGGCGAUCGGGUAUUCUUGAAGGUGUUGCCAAUGCGCGGGAUAAAGAGAUUUGGGGUUCGAGGAAAGCUUAGUCCUCGAUACAUUGGACCCUACGAGAUUUUGGAGCGAGUUGGAGCGGUAGCUUAUAAAUUGGCCUUACCGCCGAAAUUCGAGGGAAUACAUAAUGUAUUUCACAUUUCGAAUCUUCGCAAGUAUGUGCAUCAUCCUGGACAUGUCCUGGAGUACGAGCCAGUGGAUUUGCAAGAGAAUAUGACCUAUGAAGAAUAUCCAGUAUGCAUUCUAGAUCGAGAGGUGCGAGAAUUGCGAAAUCGCGCAAUUCCCUAUGUGAAAGUGCAACGGAGCAAUCAUUUGAGACGAGAGGCUACUUGGGAGUUGGAAGAAGCUAUGCGCGAAUCCUAUCCCCAUCCAUUAGAUCUGGAGAGCUAAGGUAUGAAUUAAGUUUCGAGGACAAAACUAUUUAAGGAGGGGAGAUUGUAAUAUGUCGAAACCCGACUAUAUUGCUAAUCUUGAUCAAAAUGACGCGUCCAAAUUAAAUUGGUAGUUUGGGCAUAGAGUUUAGCAUGUUUUGGAAGUGUUUGGAUGAAAUUGGAGUGAGCUGGAUGUGAGAAACGGGCUGCCAAAGCUGUUGCUGCCAACAGGGACUGAAUUGCGAAACUGCAGGGACUGAAAUGUAAACUGCAGGAUUGUAAUGCACUUUUGCUGAAUUGAAGGGUUAAAGAGCAAUUAUUUGUCCUUAUCACUUAAACCCAGGUGGCAUACAACUGCCUACGUAACAGGGCUUUCUUUUCUCUUCCUUUUCUUCAUCUUUUUCCUUCCCUCUCUCUCUCUAAGCUGAUGGAAACCGAGAGCUAAGGAAGGCAACAAAUUGGUGCGUUGGAGGUUGAUUGGAACUGCAGGGAAAGUUUUUGAAGCUGAAGGUAACCUGGGGGAGACAUCUAAUUAAGGUAGGUUGGCUGAUACCUGAGUUUAAUUGAGUAAGUUACCUUAGGGGUGUCCUAAAUUCGGAAGUUUAAUUAAGUUUGCUGCCCUGGAUUUCGGGCUAAUUUAAGCCACCAGGUUGAAGUUUUCAACUGAGAAAAAGUGGUCUAGCUGUUGGGGCUGAAGGAAAAACUGGUGGAAUCCUCAAUUAAGGUAAGUCGAUUCCAUACUUGAUUAAAAUUGAGCUAAUUAUCGUAGAGAAGAGUUAUAUAAAGAUUUUAUUGCUGCCAGGAUUUGUAAUUUAGUGAAUUGAUGGGCAAACUUGAAUUUCGAGCAUGUAGAAGCUGCGAGUAAUCAGGUAGGUCAUUGAAUUGAAGUGAAGCGAACUCAAUAUCUGAGUUUGGUCGACCUAAAUUCCUUAAAGCUAAUCUACAUGAAUAUUCAUGCUGCUAGAGCUGAAGUUCGGACUUGUUGGAGUUGACGAAUUAAGAAAUUCAAAUCAGGAAGUCGAGACUUGAGGUAAGUAACUUCAAUUCCAACUGAGAGUUAAUUAAUACCUGCAUAACGAUUGGACCUAAAGCAUUAGAAUUGGUAUUAAUAGGUAGAGAAGUCCUAAGCGGUGGCUGCUGCCUAGGUGGUGCAGGACUUGGGCACCCCAAGUUGAAAAAGCCUUAGUGGAGCUUCUUUAGUAAUUCAAGCUGCAACAAAUCUGGUGGAGCCUGGAAUUUAGGUGAGAUGGAUACUUAUUUCCUGAGUUAAGUGGUCUGGAAUUACUUUAAAAGAGUGUGAACAAAACAAGUAUUUGUUUUAUACUUGUAAUAAGCUGUGAACGAGAAGGUGAGGUGCUGAAAUUUCAGCACUAUGCAGAAUUCAGCAUGGUGCAGAAUUCAUUGUGAGCUAAAAACAGGCCAAUUGAACAAUGAAUUGAGAUAAUUCUAAUUAAAUCUUGAUUAAGGUUCAGUUAAUGGUUAUAGAAGAUGCUAAUUAGAAGCUCUAUGGGUAAUUGAACUAAGGAAAACUCAAAUCGACAUUGGUGGAUUUCUAACUUGGACUCUAUAGAUCAGCUAACACUAUGCAUAAUAUAUACAUAUAAAUAUAUAUGUGCAUAGUGUUAAAAGAGAAGAUGGAUUUGAGAUAGUUCAAAUAUAGAAUCAGAGUAAGAAGAACUGUUGUGGAAAGAUGAAAUUAGAAGGUUAUUAAAGCUUCUAGUUACUAUCAAGCUUAUAGAAUGGACUAUAUGUAAAUGUAUAUUACCAUUAUACAUACACAUUGGGGUAAAAUGCAAGUUUUCUUAAAAUGUAAAUAUGACUCUAGUUUAAUCCCUUUUAUUCUUAUAUGAAUGAAGGUUAAACGUGCUCAGAAGUUCGAAUUGACAUUUCGACGAUCCUACGACGCGCUAUUUAAGAAACGCUUCGUUCUAGCUCUAAUUGCACCGCGUCGCGAGAGCUCGUUGUCGACGCGUUUCGAGACGUUGAGCUGUGUUGAUUGGCAUCCCUACAGAUGGGUGGUGCUAUCCGAAGUCAUCGAAUCCCUCUUUAUGUCUAUGUUGCCUUCUUGAGCAUAUCUGUAUAUGAGUAAAAUAAUAUUCAUGCAUUAUAGGGUAAAUGGCAUUAUCUGUUUAUGAAAUGAAUGAUUGAGCAAAUCUCAGUAUUAAGAACAUGUGAACCAUAGCGUGUGGACCUAGAACUCUAUGAAUGUGUGAAUUUUACUGUGGACUAUAACAAUAGUAAAUUUGGUGACAUUAUGACUAGAAGUAUUGGUUAGCAUCAAUAUUGGAAAUGUAAAACUAGCAUAAAGAGCUAGUUAAAAAUAAAAUUGUGGCAUCGUCAGCUAUUGAAUCCUCUAAGGGAGGAUUGGAUCAUACUCACCUAUUCUGUUUUGGCUUGGCGGUUAUCGCUCCCCCCAAGCAGUGCACUCCGGACUGUGUCAUUAACUGGGUUGAUCGUAUAAGCCUUCCCAGUAGACGAUCCUGUCGGGAAGCAGCUUAGGUCCCAAUACUUAGGGAUUGCGUUGGUGAGUUGUAGUUAACCAAUGGUUAACUCAGAUGAAUGGGUAAUGUUCAUUAAUAGCAUGCAUGCAUAUUUAUCAGUUGUUAUAUAUUGUUCAUUUCAGUUUUGUACAGGCAUUGUAGUAGUUACAUGUUUUAGUUGGUUACUAUCUGUACCUUUUCUUGCCUACAUAUGCCUGAAUAGACCUAGUGGGUGAGUCGGCGAGGUCAGCGGCCAAACCCACUGAGAACUUUUAGUAGUUCUCACACCACUAACCAUACAGGUUCCAGCGCGAGCGGUGUGGCCGAGGAUCGCGGCAAGAGCCCAGCAUCUUAGCUAGCAGACACCCGAGUUUAGUUGGAUACCAUUUUGGGUUUCAUGUUGUACAUAAUGAUAAACAGAGAGACAUGUAAAUGUAUUUGUAAAUGAGCUGGUAAACGAUGUAAAUAACUAAAUGUUUCAGUUUUUAUGGUUUAGUUUAAAAUUUUGAAAAUACAGUGAAUGCAUAUUUAGUUAGUUUACUAUAACUUGUUCCUGUUGCUUGCCCUCGUGUAAGCCAUGUAUAUUAAAAUGUUAUCCUCGGAACUGUUUAUUUCUUUAUACAUGUACUUGUUGUUGUUAAGCCUUGGGCGGACAGGAGAAGUGCUGUCUGUUCGGCGUCUGUGUACGGGCCCGGAUUGACAAAAUUGGGAAUAGCGGGACGUGACAUGAGGCAUGCAUGCAAAGAGUGCACGGGAUGCCGGGGUUAAGUAAGGAACAAAUCUUGGCAGCCGCUGAUGCGUUGAAGGAAGAUAAGAAUCGCCAACUUUUUAUGACUAUGAAUGACGACUUAGCAUUAAUGUGGGUCGAGUGUCAACUUACACAUCAAAAUUUGUUGUAUAAGCAGAUCUUUCCAGGGCUCUAAACCAACGGCGUAAUGGUAGUCGUUGUUUGUCAGUUCCUGAGCUAUAUUGCUUGGGUUACUGGUUUAUUUUGUAUGUUGCUUGCGUUUCUAUUUUCACUCGUUUUAGCUUUGCAUAUAUGCUUGAUGUUUGGAACAAUGUUGUAAUGCAGGGUGGAUGUUUGUUAUUUCGAUCUAUAUUUGUAUGUGUGAUAUGUAAUAGACCAAUGAUGUAAGGAAGUGAAUUCUCGAAACUCGAGGAUUAGACUUCGUUUAGAAUCGACUAGUUGUCGAGUGUGUAGGCUUCGGAAAGUCCGAAGGUGAUUAAAAUACAUGAAGUGCAUUAAGGAAGGGUCCACAAGAGCAGCAGUGCAAAAUCUGCACUGGAGCAGAAUUGCUCUCGGGGACCGGUCCCUGGCAGGGAAGGACCGGUCCCAUCAGGCUGGGCUUGCGGGGAUCCAUGAUGCAACCGGUCCCUGGCAGGGGAGGACCAGUCCCCGAACGUUAACCCAGCGAGAAAGGCCGAAAUUUGGCUAAGUUCCGAAAAAUCCAACUCUCGGAAAUCGGUCUCUCGGACAAGGACCGGUCUCCCGGGGACCGGUCUCUCAGGCAAGGACCAGUUCCCGAACGCGAAACUCCCUCUGCCCGAGAUGGAAGGCUCUCGGGGACCGCUCUCCCCGACCUAGGACCGGUCCCGCACUGCGAAAAUGCCCAGUGAGGGCUGCUGCAGAUGAUGGAAAGUUGAGGGGGCUAUCUGCAAAGUGGCCUAUAUGAGAGGUGGGGGACCCCUCUCUCCCUCUCAUUUGCUCUCUCCCUCUUACACUCUUUCCCUCUCUCUCUCUAGAACGAAAGGAAAAAGAAGAAGAGAAGGAGAAGAAAAGAAGGAAGAAAAAGAAGAAGAAAAGGAAGGAGAAGACUAAGAAGAAGAAGAUCGUCUUCUUCUCUCUCUCCCUCAAGCUUGGAGCUUUGUAUAGAGGUAAGCUCUAAACCCUCUAAUGGUAUUUCUAGGGUUUGGGGUUUUUGUUGUUUAGAGAUGGUUCGAAUGGAACCUAGAGGAGAUAAAUAAAUAGUUAUAGCAGCGGAUUCGAAGCUCGAACCAUAGAUUUCUCCCUCGUUGCCAUUCUAGGGCACGUUUUGGGAUUUUUGGAAAUGUGGGGUCUUGAUCUAUUUCGAUGGGUUGUAAACCUAAUUGCUAGGUCUCGGAACGCGUCGGCGAAGACGGUUCGUCGAUACGACGAGCGGGUGCGAAGAUAUCGCCGAAUCAAGCGCUUAAGUGUUCGAAUCGACCCGAGGAGUCGAAGCGCCGACCAAGGACUGCGAAGUCAAGUUUUCUACCAUCGCGGCACUACUAAGAGGUGGGUGGUGACCAUCCCGAAGCAAUCGGGCUCCCUCUUAUGUCUUAGUAUUUUAAGACCUUGCAUCUUGUAUUCACAUGCAUUAUAGGAUAGUGGUGCAUUGCCUUUCCUUAUGUUUUCCUAGCUGAUAUCAGAUUAUGCAUUAAUUAUUGGGUAUAGGGGAUUGAUGAGGAUUGGGUUGAGACUUGUAAUCCUAUAGUGCAGAAAUGAAAGAAUGACGUAAUGGUUGAAACAAAAGAACGAGUAGCAUCUAGUUGUUAGUAAACAAAAGAACGAGUGGCGUCUAGUUGUUAGUAAACAAAGAACGAGUGGUAUGUGUGAGUUGUAGCGUAUAUGAAACCCAUUGAUUAUGGUGAUAGUAACCCUAGAGGAUAAGGUACCUGUAAGGUACCGGACUUCUAAAAUUAUGAAGUUACGGUGUACAUUUGGUUUGAAAGCCAUUUGAAUGAUUCCGGUGGGUUGCAGUGGAAUGUAAUAUACCGGAUUUUAAAUAUAAAAAUAAAAAUAAAUAAAAAUAGUGUGAGAUACUAUUUUUAUUGGAUUUAGAAGAGUAAAAUAUAAGUCAGAAGUGACUUGUGCUGAAAUCGGAAUGAAAACAGAAGAUCUAGAAUUUUCUGUUGGAAACGGGACAGAUAAAUAGGCAGAAAAUGCACAGUCUCAGAAAAUUAUGAAAAUUGGAGGAUAAGCCAGAAAUAUUUUUAUGAGGCUAGAUUUAAGGUUUCAUAUUUUUCUGACACCCGUAGAGUGAGAAAUAAAAUCCGAAAGCUAUCUGAUAAAGAUUGCAGUUCGGUACAGUUUUCAGUGACCAAACGGGGUCGAAACUGAACCAGUGAUCGUCAGCUUGUUAAGUUAAGUAAAACCGAACAUGACUGUCAAGUUUGAGCUCAAACGGAGAUUCAGGGAGCUCCGGCGAAAGUUAUCAGAUUUUAAGCUGCCUGGAGGUGAAUAGUGUUGGGGUGUAAUUAAAUAGAAGCAUGAUGCUUCUUCUUCCUCCUUCAGCCGUGCACACCCACACACACCUCACGCACACAUGGAGAGAGGAGAGAAACUCUCCUUUCUCUCUCUAGAGAUCUCUCUCAUUUCUCUAUAUCUCUCGCUCAAAUUCGCGGGGUUGGUGGAGAAUAUGCUUGCGAACGCGUUGGAGGCGACGGAUUGAGCUUUCGUGCGCCCGUUGGAGCGGUGUGUUGUCGUCGCGGCGUUCACAUUGAGGUAAGCUUUUAGGAUUUGGCUUAAUCCUUAGCUUUAAGUAUUCUAAUAGCCUCUAAUGAGCUUUGUUAGCAUGUUGAUCCAUUUAAUUUUGGAUUAUUUUGAGGUUAAUUGCAUAUUAGGGCUCCGAAUGGGGUUUUGUAAAAUAUGAGGGUUUGAUCUAAUUUGACCCUUCGUAAACCUAAUUGCUAGGUAACGAAACGCGUUGGCGAAGACGGUUCGGCAAUCCGACGAGCCGUUACAAAGUUAUUAAAGAAAUGGACGUUUAGGCUUCGGGUCCGCCGGGAGGGCCGAGGCGACAUCGUAAAUUCAUGAAAAUGGAUUUGAAGCAUCGUGGCACAUAACCGAAGACCUUUAAUUUUCGGAUCGUGAAUUGGAGGCCGUUCGGGUGGUCGCGUGAGAGAUCGGGCCAAACCGGGUGCCGGGUGCCGCGGGAGGCCGAUUGCAAGUGUCGACAAGCAAUCGGAAUGCGAAAUGAGGUGGGUUGUGCUUACCGAAGCGACUAGGUCGCCCUUUAUGUUUAAGAAACAUACGAAUUCACAUUGAUGCAUAUAGUUGUAUUGGUAGGCUUACAUGAUAAUAUGAAUGCUUGAAACAUAUUAUGUAGUUGAUAUUACCUACCAAUGAGAUGAAAUGUAUAAUGAAUUAAAUGCUAAAAGAAUGCAUGAGAUGCUAAGUAUAGACUACUUUGGAUGAUGAUUAUAUGUAUGUUGACAUAUCAUGUGAUGCUAGUAAUAUAUGUGCAUGAUGACAUGUUGUGAAUUAACAUAUUGUGGAUUAUGUUAAAUAGAAACAUAUACAUGAUGACAUAUAUUGCAUAUGAUAGAAGAAUUAUACAUGUUGCCAUAUUGUGGAACAUAGUGGAUGAAUUAUGCAUGUUGAACUUGGUCGAUUAGAGAAAUUGACAUUGGAAAACAAGAACACAUCGAGUGGCAUUAAUGUAGUGUAUUUGACACUAGAGGUUUGAGAACCUAGGGAUAGGUGAAUCCCUUAGAAAAUGCCUUGUGGAUAAAGAACUUAGUAAACCUAAGUACCCUCACAUGGAGAGGUUGUCGAUGAGUUAUUGAGACAUUGACUCUAGUUGUAGAGCAUCCUCACUUGGAGAGGAUUUGAUUGGGUCGUUGACUCUAGUUGUAGAGCAUCCUCACUUGGAGAGGAUUUGAUUGGGUUGUGGACCCUAGUUGUAGAGUAUCCUCACUUGGAGAGGAUAGAUCUAGCUCACAGUCUGCGUUUGGGAUGGUAUAGCCAUCCAAUCCCCACAUGGAGGGGAUUGUCGUCGAGUACUCCGGAGUGUCGUGCGACUAGGACCACUUGGAGGUCCGGACCACAUGGAGGUCCGCAGACGGUCCCGGGCUUGGGUGCACUUGGAGCUCCCUCCCCACUUUGGGAUUGAAAGGUGAGUUAUUGGCGAACCCUAGGGCUUCGCUACAGAUUGGGUAAAAGAACAGUGAACAAUGCCAUUGAACAUUAUUAUUCGAACAUGGAUCGAAUUCGUUAGCAUGAUAGUAAACCUUUACUAUUUGAUGCAUGGUAUGAGUUUUAGUUGCAUCCCAGUUGAGUGGAUUUAGGGCUGAGGUGCAUGUGAGACAUCCUUCACCUUGAGCCUGGCUUUGUGCGGUAUUCCGCGUAUGAUUGACUCAAGACCGGGUCGAGUGGAUAGCUUAUGAAAGCAGGUUAAACCUUAUGAGCAGAAUUGUAAUUGACAAGAAUCUAAGAUAGAGGAAAACUUAGAAGUCAAUUGGUUGAACUGUGAAUAACAGGAAUAAAAGUAGUAUCGAUUGAACUACUAGUUGGUUGCAUGGUUGCAUAAACUGCAUGAAUUUCAUAUUGCAUUUUGUGAGGCACAACAUGUAUUUCAAUACUUGAAUAUAUAUAUCUGUUGGAUAUCUGUUGGACUAACAUGUUGCAGGGCCUCCUUAGACCUAUUGGUCGAGCUUUUCCCUUGGGUGGCCGUACCCACUGGGAACCAUGGAGUUGGUUCUCACCCCACGUUGUUUUGGGGUGUUACAGGUUCGCACGUGAGCGGCGCGACGGCGCGAGGCGAGGGCGUAGCUCCAUAGAUAGCGCCCUACCCCAGAGACCAGAGAUAGAGGUACCCCGAGUCGGCAUAGCCUAGGGGUAGAGGGAAAAGAAAAAGAGUAAACUUGUAUUAAUAUUGCGAUCAUUGAUUGUAUUUGGAAGAAAAUGUAAUGUAAUAAUGCUAAUGUGAUGUAAAAAUGAAUCUAAUGAAUGCUUGUAAUAACAUAGGAUGUGUUAUGUUGUUUGAUACCUUCCUUAUGCAAUCUUGCUUGAAUACUGUUCCUGGUUGGAACUUCUUGUACUUGUAUUGAUUGCGACGCCUAGGACAUACAGGGGAGACUCUGUCCGUUCGGCGGUCUGUCGGCGGCGCCGCGACCUCGGCCAAAUAGGCGGGUGGUUGCGGGUCGUGACAGUACCCUUGAGGUAAGAGAAUUGGAUCAUACUCACUGUCUGUUCCCGACUUGUGAUGGUCGCUCCACACAAGUAGUGCGCUCCGGAGUUGGUCACAUAGGAUUGCCUAUUUGGGGUCCCGUGGGAUAGGGAUGGCCUAUUUGGGGUCCUGAGGGAUGGCCUAUGUGGGAUUCCGCAGACGGUAUCAGAUUCGUAGUUUGAGUCUUGUCUCCCUACGCGUCGAGAUGGCUCUGUGAGUAGUAGGCGAAUCCUUGAGUGAGCUACGGGGUUAAUGAACAAGUAAAUAGCCUUACUUCUUGGACAUAUGACGAGCUAGUUGAUUACCUACUUCAUUGUGCAUGCAUUCUCCAUAUUCAUGAUUCGAGCACAGUAGCGUAGCUUUAUUAUUCUGUUUUCACAGCUUUCCAUAUCUAUCUAUCUGUUUAUCUACUUGUGCCCACUUGGACCUAGUGGGGAGACCGGCGGAGUCGGCGGCCGAACCCACUGGGAACUAUGGAAGAUAGUUCUUACCCCACUCUCUACAAGUUCGAGCUCGGGUGUCCCCGGCGAGCGCAAGGAUCGUGGCAAGGGCAUAGUGCCCUAGUGGUAUAUGCACAUAGCUAGCUUUACUUCCUUUUGCAUUAGCCGUCACCCUUUUGUAUUUGAGAGUAGAUGAUGUAUAGGUGUGAGGUUGUUUUGGAAGAUAUAAAAGCAUGUCGUAUAUAUAUGUUUCAACUUGAAGUAGUCGAUGUAUCAAAGAGGUUGGAUAAAUGUAAUAGAUAGAACCUUCUCUCUUUAUUUACUUGUAUGUCUCAUACUUGUAUCUUGCUCUUGUUGGUUAGCACUGGUGGUGCUCCUCGUGAUCGUGUAUUUAUGAAUUGAUUCCUGGGUAAAUUCUUAUACAUGAACAGUUGGCUUGGCCUUGGGCGGACAGGGGAGGUUCUGUCCGUUCGGCGUCUGUUCGACGUGCCCGGACCGAACCAAAUUGGUAGCGGUCUCGGGGCAUGACAAAUGAAGUAUUCCUGGUCAACAUGUAUUACUUUAGGAUAUAUUACUUUAGGUUAUGUUUUACCUUUAGUUAUCAUUACAUGUAUGACUGCUUUUAAGGACAUGGUCAAAAUAAUGAUCUAUUUUUGUGCCCUAUAGCUUAAGUAUUGCUAUAGCUAUAUGUUUGUGUGUACUAAAGUAUUUUUGGUCUAUUUAUCGAUGUGCUCUCAUGUAUUUGUCAUUGACGACAGUUGGGUUCUGAAAGACAGUGAUGGACAACUCAGUAUAUCAAAUAGUAUUUUCGUUAGCAAUCAUAGCCAAUGUUAUGGUAAUUUUAGAUGAAGAUGAUGAAUCUCGGGAGCAUUUAAUGCAAUUUGAGCAAGAAAAUCAGACAUGUGCAAAUACAGUCCCCAGACAAAGAUGUCGAACUCGGCCCCUUACCGGAUAUCAAAUUGUUAGUUGUAUGACCUAGAAGCCUAUCAGGCAGACGCAUUUUAUUUUCUAUAGGACAUAUAUUUGUACUUAAUCUUUAUUAUUUAUAUAAUUUGGUCUUUUAUUCCAUUCAUGUUAAAUGUGUCCAUGAAUCGUACUUUGAAUUAAUAAGAUGAUAAUAUGUAUUCUCAAGAGUUGAGAAUUUGAGAUACAUAUUAUUGGUGAUUAAUUCAUAAAUGCUCUCAAUCGGAGGAUCAUCAUGGGGGCGAUGAUUGAUCCGGUAAGAUUGAUGUGUGUGCCGCUUCCCUAUUAGGAUGACGAAUCUCGAGCCAUCAGUGUGGGGACACUAGAGCGAACAUGCAGGUGGUUGUUGGAGAACAAGGGUACUGAGCGUGACCAACUACGAAUAGUUACAUGGAUGUCUACUCAUUCGUCAGUAACUGGUUCGAUGUUGCAGUGGUACAACUGAUCCUUAGACCUGCGACACCACGACUAUUCAAUAUGAGACUACUGUAGUUUGACUAUGCAACAAACUCUGAUCCCAGCCAUGGGUCUUAGUAGUAUAUGUUGGCUGCUGUCGGUUCAUAUCAGGAAUGGGUGUGUGUUUAUAAGAGAUCUAUUGCUCUCGGUAGAGAGAUAAUUAGUUCUAUGCUAUUUGUAAGGCAAAGCUCAGAAAUCCUCGGUCGGGGUAAUAUGGUGUAUGGAAAGAGUUUUCCAAGAGUAACCAUAAGAGCUUUUGUCCUAUCAAGUUUGACAUAUGACGGGUGAUGGGGUUUGAUGAAUAUUCCAUGACCUCCACUCAAUUGGAACUAUGCGAUAGAAGGAUAGUAUUGUACGGUAACUGCACCUAGAGGUUCAGUCCGAUAUUCACUUCUGACUGGAUUGCCACUACAUGCUGCUAGGCGUCACUAGUGGAUUGUGGGAACCAGUAGAAAUAAUUAUAGAUAAUUAAUUAUUCUAUAAGGGUGGAAUCAAAAGAGUUUGAGCCAUCGAAAAUAGUUUCAAUAAUUAUGUAGAUGGAGAUCUCAUCAUAUCUCACUAUGUCACGCCCCGAGGUCCCUCUUUAGUUUAAAGCAUAGCGGAAAAGCGUUUGAAAUUUUUUUUUUUUUUAAACUUGACCCCAGGGUAUGCCAGAUCCGCCACAAAUACAGGAGAUCCACUGUUCACACGGACAGAGUCUCCCCUGUAUUUGCACGGCGUCGCACAAGUACAAGAGUUCAAACAUGAUACAACCACAACCAGAUGAACAUACAAAUAAUCACAGUUAUAUAUUCAUACACCAUUCACCACAGAUUCACAUUUUACCAUUCGAUAUUUAAACAUAAAUUCACAUCUAUCAGUCAAAAUAUUUCCAACCACAGAAACAGGUUUUGAAAUACUAAGAUACAAAAUCACUGAAAACCCUUUGAAAACUGUUCCCUACACGGAAACUUUUAUCUUUUUAAAACGCUACCACGAGGGGUAGAAAAUUAUUUUUAUUUUGCAAAAUCCAGAAAUCCACAUUUUCAAAUGUAAAUAAACACUGAACCACAUAAACCAACUAAACUAUUCAUCAACCAAACUAAGAAGGGUAAGAAAGUAAACCGAAUUAACCUGGGUCGAGAGCGCUAUCGACCGCUACACGCGUACCUCACGUCUCGUCCCACUACUCACCGCCCGCGAUACCUGAAAAAUGGUGGGGGAGGUGAGAACAUGUAAACAUGUCUUCCCUCCCAGUGGGUACCGCAAGCCGAAGAAGGCGAGGAGUACUCACCGGAUCAGGAAGAGAUAAUCAACAGUAUGGGUAAGUAAAAUACAGUAGCAAUGAUAAUAAACGAACAAGAUAUAUAUAUAUAUAUGAAAACACAACUACCGCUACUGUAAUGUACAACUGCAAGCAUACAAGGAUAUCAAAACUAUAGUAGCAAGACAACUCGUUAAGAAAGGAACUAGGGAAGUACAUAUGGCAACAACCGUACUAUUAGCUAUAAGCGUCAACAGGACGAGAAGUCCCAAAGGGUACCCAAUCUAAACCCGCCCGUGUCGGUCUAAGAACCUCAGCCAAAACUCACUAUCGCUUCCCACACCUGGCACUGUAACCCUAGCACAAAAGAACACGCUGGGCUUACCGGUCGGAUGGUACGACACUUUUCCGAAAAGAACCACCCCUCCUUGCGGGAUCAAUCCCGCUUGGGUACGUGAAAUGCACUCGAGCUGUGGCGAUCAAUGCGGAUAUGAUCAAUAGCCAACCGUCGGCAAUCAGCCGGACAAUCACUGCGCCCUCUGGGCAUAACCGACCGUGUAGGUGUCAUCAAGCAACAACGUGAAUCGACCGAGAUAGUCAAUGUACGGAAGUAAACGAACGACCCCAAACAGGUCCCGAUGCCAAUAAGGAGAAACCGACCCAACCAUGGUCACCAAGUAUAGUAUAUCAAAAUAGCACAUUAUUCUACCCUAUACAGGAUACUACACAUAGAACAAACUAGGCAGGGUAAAUAAAGUAGUAUGGUAGAUACUGCUCGAUGUUUCAACUAAAGUACGAACGCAAGAACCGACCGAUAUGUCAACAGGAGUUGUAUCGAUAUAGUCCAAUACCGUCGAGCACCAGCGACAAUCCUACCCUCAGGUACACCGACCUCAAAGGGUAUCGGAACGACAAGUCAAGAAAUAGACCAACCCAAUACAUAGUUGCAACCAACCGACCAAACAGGUCAACAGAUUAUAAGAUUAAAAGCACCGAUCAACGUGAGGUCAUCGAAACGAAGUACGGGAGAACCGGACCAACCAAGUCACCGCCAGCGAAAGUACGAAGAACCGACCAAUCAAGGUCCACCAGUAUUCACAUUAGGGAUAAAUACUCACUUCCUACCAACAUGAUACUAAGCAUAGGAAACAUAUGAGUAGAGUAUGGAUAGAAAACAACGUGGAUGAAGCGUCACAUAUAUAAUACGAAGUACCAAUAGAAGAACAGGGAUAGAAGAGAUAUCACCGAGCGUGCCCACCACUGUACCGGACUUCGGAUCGACAAUAACCCACAUGUACAAAAUUACAAAUGCGCACCUGUCUCCUGACUUGCAAACAUAAGGACGUCAACCGGACCUAAGGAAGUCCCACCGGGUUAGUGGUCUUAACCACAGCUAAUAAUAUCACUAAUCCACAACACGAAGCCAAACCCAUGGAGAAUCGUUCCCAAACCGAUCGCCGGUAAUAUCGCCGGAAGCCCGUAUCGCAUGGGACCUCCGCCGGGAAGCCCGAACUGUUCCCAGAACAUACCCGUCUUGAGUUUGAGGUCACCUGCUGCCACUAAACAUAAAUAAUCAUGCAUCAUGGCAGCGAACACAACUCCUCGUGUCGAAACAAUUAUCGUCGGAUAAUCGUUUCGAUUCGGGUUCCCGGAAGUGUCUAUUUCGACACCGGAACCUACCGUCGCUCACCCGUCAUUUCCGAACUCUCGAAAUGACGCAAGUGACCAGCCAACAAGGCUCAGCGACUACGCAAAAGUUCACGAAGCAUCGUCGGAAUAAUUCCGAACCGAACCCGCGUUCCGUCGGCGGAUUUCGCCGAAAAACGCACCGGAAAAGCAUUUCCGAUCUUCGCAAGGGUCUAGGGCCUUGGACAAUCAGUCCAGAGGUUACUCUCAGCGUUUACACGCUGUCCACAGCGACCGAGUCGAUGUUAUAUGCAAGAAAGCACAUCAUGAACCCUAAAAUCUAUCAUUUUAUGCGAUUUUCGACAGUUUUAAUGGCCCGAUCUUGCGAUACGAGGCUCGCUGGGUCAACCGUCGCACCCGCUGAUAUAUUUCAGCGUGCCGGAGACCGUGCUCACCAUUCAGAGCACAAUCGGCGACUGUGGUGCGCGCAUGAGUGACGCGAAGGUCUAAUAAACUGCGCGCACCGUGCGAAGAUCGCGACUAAUUCACUAACCAGGGCAUCUUUGCCGCUGUCGGAGGUGAGCACGAUGUUCAGCACGAACCCUAGAUCAUCGUGCUCACUUCCCAAAGUUCAGGAGGCUAAUCGGAUCACCGGAAAGGUGACCGGAAACUCGAAAAACAGUGCUGGAACGUAAAUGGACACUCACCGUGAGGGGAGGAACUAGGGUUGGCCGCCGGCGAUAUUCCGGCGGGCGGUCCGGCCGGGGAUGGGUGCAACAGAUGGCGGGGCUCCGGGGCACUCCACAUCAGGCGGCGCAGGGCGGCCGGAGGUGUGGCGGCGGCGUACGGAGCCGCCAACGCCCCUGCGGUUUGGUGCCUUCCAACAGUCGCCGGCGGCGAUGCGGCGGCCGGGGCUGGUCGGGGCCGGUCGGGGACGACGGCGGGGGUCGAGGCGGUGGCCGAGCUUGCGUCGGCGGGCGGCGGCGAUGCCCGGGAGUGAAGGCGGCCCGCGCUCGGCCCGUACAGCACAAAGGCGGCGGCAGGGGGCACCUGCGGCGGCCGGCGGUGCUCAAGGGUGGCCGGGGUCGGGUGCGGUGGUCGCCGGAUGAUCGGCGGAGACCUCCGCGGCCGUCGGGAAGCGGCGGCAGGGCUCACACACCCGAGCCACCCAGCUUCGGCCUGGGUGGUGUCCCUGGGGCCGCAGGCGGCUACGGCGGCUCCGGCGGCGCACGGCGACGGUGGGGGUCGGCGGUGACGGUGCCGGCGGGGGUGCCUGGGUCGGGGCUCACCUCACUCGAGGCCUGGCCGGCUCAGGGUGGUGCUGGGUACAUCCUCGGCCAAGGUGGAGGGAGAGGGAGGAAGGUUGGAGCUUGGGAAAUCAUUUCCGGCGACGGCGGCGGCUGCCGGCCGCCGGGGUGCAAGCACGGCGUGGACAGGGGGCCUCCUAGGCGGCUGGUGCACAGGGAGGGCUAGGGUUAGGGUUUCCACGAAGCCCUAGGUUCCAACACACAUAUAAAUAUGUGGCAAAAUACAAUUUAGCCCCUCAAAUAAGAAUAUUUCUAUCCCAGCCCUUCACAACGCGUGAAAUAUGCGCGAAUACACCUUCACAAACAAAUUCACGCGAAACGGCACAUAAAAUAUCGCACUUUUUGCGAAAUUACCCAUUUGCCAACACCGACCUCUCCUCGAUCAACGUGUGAUCUCCGCAGAUCCGUCCGUCAGAUUUGCGAACGGAUUGCACCAGUGCGAUCAGCACUUCGGAGACAACAAAGCUACGAUUUGUUUCACCACGAUCGGCCACGGAUUCACGACAAAAUCCAAACUUUCUUUCCAAUAGAAGGAAUAACACAUAAAUACAUAUAAAACACGUAUUUUCGGAUUUUCUCGAAAUUCGUGCAUCAAACUCAAAAUCCGUCAGCGCCAGUAGUUCCAGAAUAGCUGAACCGGUCGAAACGAGCUAUUGGAUCGCUAUGAACGGAGUCCGAUACGCGCCAGAAGCCUACUCUACUCCGUGGCUUCUCCGAAAAACCGGAGUUACUAUUCACUUAAGUGAAAACUAAAAGUCGCGUAUCUUCUCCAUUUUAGCUCAUUUUCGCCCAAAAUUUGACGAGUGCUUAUGUAAUUAAAUUACACACAUAAACAUCAGCAACAGAGAGUUUAGUUGCACUGUCAAAAAAAUCUCAGUCCUUACACCAACCUUCUUCGAAUAGAAGGAAACACACACAUAAAUACAUAUAAAAUAUGUAUUUUUAGAUUUUCUCGAAAUCCGUGCGUCAAACUCAAAAUUCGUCAGCGUCAUUAGCUCCAGAACAGCUGACCCGGUCGAAACGAGCUAUUGGACUGCUAUGAACAGAGUCCGGUACGAGCCAGAAGCCAACUUCUCACCGCGGCUUCUCCGGAAAAUCGAGUUACUAUUCACUUUAAGUGAAACUUGGAAAUCGCGUAGAAUUUCCGUUUUAACUUGUUUUCGCCCGAAACUUGACGAGUGCUUUUGUAAUUAAAUUACACACAAAAACAUCGUCAACUGAGAGUUUAGCUACACUGCAAAAAUCUCAGUCCUUACAAGCGAGACGAUCAGUGAUAGUGUUGCCCUCCCUGUACGUGUGUUGAAUAAUGAUCUUGCAGGCACUCUUGCAUCGACUAUUUCGUCCCCUAGGGCGCAUUUUUGAUACCUUUGCUGAAGAGGUGGAUCACCUAGAACAAGUCGCUCUCCAAGAUAACGUGCGAAAAGCCGGCCUUGGUUGUCUCCGUCAGCGCCAAUCGUUUGGUCCAUAGCUCCGAGUAUAGAGGAUGGACGUCCAAAUAGCACGAAGCUCCGAUGAAGAUGAAGAGGCCAUCAGAGUCUCUGGUCAUGAGCUCGGCACCUCUACUUGAGUCUCUUCCAAUGAAAAAGCCGUCAGUGUUUAGCUUUAUCUAGUCAUCAGGAGGCAGGUGCUAGGAGAUGGCGAAGUCUAUUUCCAGCAGUGGGCUCGCUCCUUCUUCUUUGAGCUCGGCGGGAGCUCACAAACAUCGUAGGGCUGCGAAGGAAGCGGAACGACGAUGCCAUAGAAACCGUUGUCGCCACUGCCAUUGCAGCUAGGUGCAGGGACAAAGCGGCAGGGCACGCUCGGAAGACGGUCGACACAGUAAGCGGCCUUGAACAGUGGUGAAAGAGAAAGCAAAGGGUGAAAUCGAUUCGACGACGCGAUUCAAAGAAUGGGAUGAACGAUUCAGAGAAUGGGAUGAAGCAAGAGCUCUAUAAAGAGAGGAAGCGGAGAAAAAGAAAGGGGGAGAGGUGUAGAGUAAUUAACUAGUGCGAGAGAUUACGAAAUAUGAAAACGAAAUAUGAAAUUCGCUAAAAAAAAACCGAAAUUCUCUUUUAUAGUUAAAAAAAUCAUUAUUGGGACACGGUAUACAAGAAUUCCCUGUUCGAGUGCCAGUCCGAGUUAAAUAAUUAAUUAUUUAGUGUAUUUAGUGUGUUUAUGCAAUAACUAAUAUUUAUUUAUAUUGAUUACCUAAUUAUUAUUUUUUACUAAUAUAAUUAUUUUCUUAACUAAUUAUCUAACUAUUAAAUAAUUAACUAAUUAAUUUAUUAAAUUACUUAUGUUAAUUAAAUUACCAAUUAACAGUACUCAUUCUUAAUUAACUUAUCUAUACUACUUAUAAAAGAGGGAGUUUUAAAAUUUUUUUCUUUCCGAAAGUGCCGGUCGUAUUAAUAUAAUUCCAACCACAUACUAGCAAUAUCAUUCAUUCAACUUAGAAUAAAUCACAGUAAAUUUCACUUUUUAUAUGCGUACCCUAUUUCUUAAUAACCGUCGCCUACAUAAUAUCGUAUUUUAUCACAAAUAAUAUUUGCGAUCUACACAUUUCUUAAGUAUUUUCUUUCUCACGCCACCUAUAUAAUAUCCAUCCAAUCACGUAACAUCUUCCACAUAUAUAAUAUUUAAUCAUAUUUUUUUUAAAAGUGAAUAUAUAAAAAUUAUCUCAAUUUUAUGAGAUAUUUUUCAAUAAAAUAUAACAUAUGAAUUUAAAAUUUAAAAUUUAAAAUUUGUCGAUAAAUGUGAUGCAUAAAUUUAUAUUCAUUUGAGAUAAUUAUUAAAUAGUUGUUGACAGACCUUUUUUUAGUAAGAAAAAAUAUUGCAUUCCAUUUGCGAGAACAGAAAAAAAUUCAUAUUUAUCCAAAUUUCUGCCAACCAAAAGCCAACCGAAAGAUAUCUACUAUAGAAUAUUUUUUACAAGUGCCUCAUAAAAAAAUAUUUCAUACUCAUCAAAAGACGAAAAUCGCUACGUAACACACAUUGAAAAUAGGGGCAAUUUCACCAGUACCCCUCUCAAAUUUAUAAAUUUUAUGGAUAACCCUACAAAAGUUAAAAUAUCAUGCAUACCCUUUAAAAUGUAAAAAAUUAUCAUAAAUACCCCUACAGUCAGUUUUCCCUUAUGAAAUAAGGGAUUAAAUAAUGAAAUAACGAAUUUACCCUAUUAAAUAAGGGAUUAAAUACUGAAAUGACGAAAGUCAGUUUUCCCUUACGAAAUAAGGGAUUAAAUAAUGAAAUGACGAAUUUACCCUAUUAAAUAAGGGAUUAAAUAAUGAAAUGACGAAUUUACCCUUAAUUGUUUGAUACUACUUGAGAAAUGUAGUGGAGAUCCUUCAACUAUAGCUAUUUUGAAAUAAUUUCCUUAAUAAAACCCCUUAACUUUUAGUUUUUUAAAAUUUAGAGAUUUAGCGUCAAAAAAAAAGAAAAUGUAUUAAAUUUAACACAACUUUUCAGCUAAAAUAACUCAAAUAAUUUAAUUUUAAUCGGCAAAAUGUAUGGAGACCCCCUCAACUAUAGACGAUUUUGAUAUUAGACCCCUCAACUUCAAAAUUUUUUUUUUGUUGACACCCUUUUAACCUCUAUUUAUUUUAAUAUGAGUUUUCAUAUUUAUUCAUUAUUAAUUUUAUCAAAUUAAAUAAAUUUAUUAGUUAUUAACUACUAAUUGGUUUAGUGUUAUUUACUUAAAAGUAAGCAAUAUUAAAUUUGGCGAGAUCACCAAUUUGAUAAAAUUCAUAAUUUUUUAAUUAAAAUUGCUUAAUUUUUAAAAUUAAAGAUAAGGAGAUGUCAACCAGAAGAAUAAAAGUUGAGGGGGCCAUUUCAAAAAGACCUAUAGUUGAGCAAGUUUUUUUUCAUUUUCACCUUCCAAGAGACUACGGUAUCGUUUGGUUCGAGGAUAAGGAAAAAGUGGCUAUUCCAGAGAUAGGUAUAAAUUGAGGUAUAAGCAGGGAUUAGAUCAAUUUUGCGUUUGGAUGAAAAUUGGGUUAUUCCUGGGAAUAAAAAAAAUAGUGUUUGGUUAGGUAAGAUGGAAUAAGAAAGAUAGUGGGUUUUAUAAAUAAAAAACAAUCAUAUUAUCCUCUUAUUAUAUAUGAAUUUAAAUUUUUAAAAUUUUAAAUAUAUAUUUUUAAAUUUAAAAUUUUAACUUUGAAAUUUCAAAAUUUGAAAUUUAAAAUCUCAAAUUUUAAAUUAAAAUUUUAAAAUUUAAAUUUCAAACUUUAAAUUUAAGAUGAAAUUUAAAUUUAAUAAAUAUAAAAUAUCAAAUUUUAAAUUUCAAAAUUAAAAUAUCAAAAUUUAAUUUUAAAAUUUAAAAUUUAAAAUUAUAAACUAAUUUUGAGAUUAUAAAUUAUAAAUUUUAAACAUUUAAAUUUUUAAUUUUUAAAUUUUUAAUUUUUAAAUUGCGGUGGGAACAAUUAAUUAAAAAUAAUUUAUUAUAAUAAAUUUAUAAUUUUUUUUUAAAUUCUACUUAAAUUUAAAUUUAAUAAAAGAAUUUAUUAUAAUAUUUAAAUAUAAAUAAUAAUUAUUAAUAUAAUAAAAAUAAUGUAUUAUAAUAUAUAGUACAAUUAAUAAUUUUAUAAUAAAAAUAUUGUAUUAUAAUAUAUAACAUAUUAUAUUUAUAUAAUUUAGUUUUAAUUCAAUUUAUAAUUUUAAUUAAGUUUGAAAUUAAGCAUUGGAAUAGUGCUAUUCCAACAAAAUGGUGGAAUAGCAAAUCCCUUGCUAUUCCGGGAUAACCGGGAAUAGCAAGGUUUGACCGGGAUAAAAUAUCCCGGCCAAAUUUUAUCCUGUUUGGCGGAAUAGCGGGGAUAACUUUCGUUAUCCCAGCUUAUUCCUCCAACCAAAUGGGGCCUACAAGUCUAAGUCCCAAUAAAAAAAUAAAAAAUAAGUUUAUAGAGACAUUGUAAAUAGCCUACAAUGGAGGGGUUUUUAUACUAUUGAAAAAGUCACAUUUAGUGCAUUGUACCGGAGUAAAAUUGGUAUUUAAUAUAUAUAACGACACUUUUUAACCAAGGUUGUGAUAAGGGAUAUAUAUGAUUAUUUAUGAAAUUCAGAAGAGUAUCUAUGAUAUUUUGAAUUUUAAAGUGCUAUUGAUGAAAUUUUAGUCUGCAGAAAGAGCAUGUAUGAAAUUUUCCCUUGAAAAUAUUUAGUAUCUACUAUUUUUCAAUUAACUAACUAAAAAGAAAUUACGUUUGAAAAAUAAAAUGAUUUAAAUAAACCUAUCAAAUCAACUUUAAAUUUUAAAUUUGAUUCAUAAUUUCAAAUGUGAAUUAAUAUUUUAAUUAAAAAUGUAAAAUUAAUUAAAAUUUCAAUAUUUGGGUGUGUAAACAGUAUUUCAAAUCCAAAAUAAUUAAUUAAUUUGAAAAUAUAUCAAAUUUCAAAAGUAGAUGGGAUGAUAAAUAAAUUAUUGUCUCUAAUAAUUAUUUGUAUUCAAAUUGUUGAUUCAAAAUUAACUUUAAAUUUUGAGUUUUAUUCAUCAAUUUAAGUUGGAAUUCAUUAAUUUAAAUUUUAAAAUUUAGAUACACAUUAAAAAAAUUAAAAUUAGAAAAAAAUUAAUUGAUAAAUAAAUUUAUACCGCCAAUGAUUAUUUAAAUUUAAAAUAUAAAUAAAUAUAAAAUUAAUUUAAUUAAAUGUGACGUGAAUUGGACGUGCACUAUAACUAGUUAUUUAAAAUUUAGGACUAUCUAGCAAUAUUUAUGAUUAAUUAGUUAAUUAAAUUUGUUAAUUAUUAUUUACUUAAUAUUUUUAUAUUAAUUAAUAGAUAAAAUAUUAUUAUUUUAAUUUCAAUUUAACUAUUGAAAUACUAUUUUUUAUUCCAAAAAACAAGCCAAUUUUUAUCCAAAAACAAAAUUGGUCUUGUUUUUGUUUAUUCUAAAAGUUUAUUUAUAUCAAGAAUAAUUAUACUUUAUUUUCAAGCUAAACGAUGCCUAAAAUUUUUUUUUUUCUUUUUAAUCUUGCGCAUAGACUCUUAAAUCUUAGAAACCCCAAAUUUAUGCAAGAAUAAAGAUAUCCAGUUUUUUUUACUUCCUUAAAUUUUUUAUUUUUUUCUUCCUCUAUGUUUCUAUACUUUUUAAACAUAAAUUAUAUAUAUUAUGUUGAAAUAUUUAAUUAUUAAAUAAAAUAUUAAUUUUUUUCUUUAAUAACCUAUGAAAUUAUGGUGGAAUUGCAAAGUGAGGUUACAACUUCUUUACUCUUGCAACUCCUCUCUUUCUAUACUUUUCAUCUCUCUUUCUAUACUUUUCAAACAUAAAUUACAUAUAUAUUAUGUUGAAAUAUUUUAUUAUUAAAUAAAAUAUUAAUUUUGUUUUUAAUACCCUAUGAAAUUAUGGUAGAGUUGUAAUUAAAAUUAUGUUGAAAUUAUGUAGAAUUGGUGAAGCCAUACGACGAGUAUCGAGUCGUUGUAAUUCGAAGCAUCUUGUGGGGACAAGUAAUUAUUUUGCUGUAUCGAUUUGAAGGUUUUGUCAACUAUAGAGGACUUGAAUUUUUUUAAAAAAAAACGAGAUUUGUGUGUCUCGACUUGAUUAACCUGCGGCGGUCUAGUCACGUAACACCCUUCUAGACAAUCCUCAAAUAAUUUUAUUUGGAAAAUCGUGAAUUAUUUUUUGCUUUUAAAAGCAGUAUUUAUUUAUCAAAAAUUGAAUUUAUGUAAGUACCACGAAUGAUUUACUGCUUUCUAAAAUACGAUUACUACUUUUUUUAACUAUUUGAUGCAUGUAAAUUUAAUUUUAAAAAUAAAAACUUUAGAACCCCUAUUUAUAAUUAAUAAUCUCUACGAGUUUCUUGUCAAAUAUUUCUAUCUAUGUGAAUCGCAUUGUUUGAUACUUUGAUCCUCAAACUAUGAGACCGAUGACACUUUGAUACUCAAACUUUUAUUUAUUAUAAUUUUUAGUUUAAAUUUUUAAAAUUAUUAUAAUUAAGUUCUAUAACCUAAUUUAGUUUGACUAACUAUUGAUAUAUCAUUAAUAUAGAGGUAAGAUAGUAAUGCUGUGAUUGAAAAGGCACUAAUAAUUAAAAUAUUACAUCAUUUUAUAUUAAUAAUAUAUUAAAGUUAACUAAAUUAGAUUAUAUAAAUGAUAAUUUUGAAAUUUUGAGUCACAAAUUACAAUAAGUUAAAUUAAAAUUAAAGAACAAAAUUUUCCUCAGGAAUUUAGCCAUUUCCGCCUCUCUCUCUUACUCUCGCUCGCAGUCUCACCGUCUUUCUCUCUCUCCCGCUCUCUCGUAUGUCCAACCGUGCAAGUCACCAUGGAUCCAAAAGCAUUAACACGGCAUCUUCGCCGCGUAGAACCUCUCUCCGCCAUUGUCGUCGUCCUCCUCCUCCUCUUGGUUCUCGUUCUCGCUGCUCUUCUCCUCUUCCUCUUCUCUCCCAACUCCAUUACCUCCAUGUACGCCUCUCUCUCUCUCUCCCUCAUCAUCAUUAUCAUCAUCUUCUUUGUAUCUCGGAUCUAGUAACCCGGUGUUCUCUCUCUUUGGAAACAGUCACAUUACUUCCGUGGAGGAGAGGGAGAAGCCCAUCGCCAUUUGGAAAGCUCCCAGACAGGUAGAGUGGAGGCCCUGCGAGUGGUGGUGCAACAACGAAGCUUCGUCCCGUAAGUCCCUGAACCCUAAAUGGACCAAUUCUUGCUUUUUAGGGCUAGGGUUUGGACCCAAUUUUGGAACUUUGCAGGAUACCAAGGAUCUACGUGCUGAGGAACCGGUUUUGGCAUGAAACCCCCUUUCUUUUUUUCUCUAUGCAAUAUAUUGUAACUGCUCCAAUAUAUUGUUCGUCAAUUUUUCUUGUAAUUUAUUUGUUGAACGCAGUGGAAAUAUUUGUUUGUACCUUUUGCGGAAGUGACCCGUGCUAAAAUGCGAUGAGUCCUGAUCGUAGAGAUUGAUUCACGUGUCCUUGGAUUAUCCAGGAAGGUCUUCUAACGCUCCAAAUCCGUGAUAGAUCGAACUAUAAAUGAGCACAAUAUCUAAUCCACCGUUCAAAAACCUCUAGAACAAUAGCUUAAUGGAGGAUGUGGUUUCUCUCUCUCACAAGACGGCUCACAAAUUACUCACGAAUUUAUGAGUAUUUUGUCUUUAUUUUUUCUUGUUAUUUUCAUGAGAGAAUAAACCGUAUAUAUAUAAAGGAUCCCAAAACCCUAAUAUGUAAAUAAGAGAUUAGGCCGAAUUUGUUUAUAAUUGUUAUCCUAAUAUGGUUAGAAUAUAUUUCUAAUUAGCUUUUUAAUUUAAAAGCAAGAUUAAUCCAAACCCAAUUAGACAACAUAAUAACCGUCGGAUCGAGCCCAAUCAUAGGCACACCCGAUUCGGUUUAACCGAAUGCCAAUACUAUUAAUGUGAUUAUUUGCUAAUUUCGAAAGAAAACUUUGAACGGGGAUUGUAUCAUGCCGAUACCUUGUCAGCAUGGUAUGGUACGACAAGGGAGGCACAGUCCAUGCCGUUCGGCACUUAAGGUAUGUCUGUUUCAUGAUUGGCAUGAGAAUGAGAAAUGGAAUUGAAUUGUAUUGGAAUGAAAAAAUAGAAUAAUGAAAUAUCCAAAACUAUUUGGUUCAUUAUUGGAAUGAAAAUCGAAAUGAACAAUUGGGACACCUAGGAUUCUGAGACGGGGUUUUUGGUUAAGGGAGGAGAAAAGAGAGAGAGGAGGGGGUGUGUUUGUGAGAGAGGGUUUAGAGUGGUUUACUCUAGAAUGAGCCAAUUCAGAAUUUAAAGCCAGAUUAGGCUAAAUAGAUUGGACCAUUCCCAUUACGUAGUUGAAUGGGAAUUAGAAUCCAAUUUCUAUAAAACAAACAACAACUAUUGGAAUCAAUGAAUCUCAUUCGGAUUCCAAAGUCUAAAAUUUCUGAACCAAACAAGCCCUUAAACCCAUGAGAGAGAUGGAUGUUCAGUUUCCCCUUUCUUUUACUAGUUCUUUUUGUUUGUGUUUUGGGUGACUGCAUAUAUUUAUCUUUGAAAAGUUUGAAAAUUGUACAUUGUCUCUUGAAGUUGCUUUUUCUUUAGAAGGCGUUCCUCUAAAUUUGAAACGUUUGUUAGUUUCUCUACCGAUUGACUACCGCUUAUCAGAAAUUUUUUAAGAAAUAUUAUAAAAUAGAUUUUACUUAUCAGUAGAGUGGUCGUUUCAAAAAAAAAAAAUCAAUUUUAAAUAGUCAAUCAACAGAGAGGGAUAAAUUUGCAAACUUGUGAAAUGUAACUCAUAAACUGUAGGGGAAAAUUCUUGAUAUUAAAGGUUUUGAGGGGAAUGUAUGCAUUUUCACUUCUUGGCAGGAUUAUUUAUGCAAUUCCUCCCUUGCUGCAGCUCUCCCAAUAAAGAACAAUGGCUACAUCAGAAUCGACUGUUAUGGCGGCCUCAAUCAGAUGAAACAUGAUGUAUGUACAUCACUGUAGGGAGCUAGCGUUUUCCAUGUUAGACAUAAGUUUACUCAUUUCAUCUAAACGUUUACUGGGGAAACCUUAGAAUCUCUCUAUUGUGGCUCGAUUCAACUUUAUAAUCCAGUUUUUGGUCACAUUGUUAUAGAUGUCUCAGUUGUCCUGCAGGACUAGCUAUUAAACACCACUAAAAUUGAGCAACUUUCAAUUAUGUGGCUUGAUAAAAAUCUUGUAAUCUAGGUUAUGAUUUCUUAGUUUUGUUGGAUCCUACUUAUUUUGAUUGGUUUUAUGAUCCAACAUUUGUAACAAUCUGAACCAUUUGGAGUAAGGGUGGGAUUAUGUUAGGAUUAUGGAUUUUUUUAGUUGUGUGAUGGAAUAGGGAUUGCACGCCUGCUGAAUGCAACUAUGGUUUUGUCGAAAUUUGAAGUUGCUGCUUAUUGGAAUGAAUCAAGGUAAGCUUGAGGAUGCUAGAGAGUAACUGUCUUUGAUUUGUUGAUUGAUAUAGAUAAUUACUGUGCAGAUCUAUCAGCAAUUUUGCAGAUGUUUUUGAUGUUGACUACUUUAUUGAGAAAAUGAAAGGCUUUGUGGCAAUUGUUAAAGGGUUACCAGAAGAAAUUGCAUCAGAAGAGCCAUUUAAAGUGGACUGCACAAGCGAAAGGGCUAUUUUGACUAUGUUGAGGGCGUGCUUCCUGCCCUCUUGGAGCAUCACUAUGUAUCCAUCACACCAGCCAUGAGCCAAAGAAGGGAUAGGUGUGUUUUGAACCUUAAAUUAUAUGAAUGCAUUUAACAUUCACUCAUAAUUACUUGAUUUCUAUAUAAUUGGACCAUUAGUUUAACCCAGUUGACAUUAUGUUUCUUUGUUCAUUUGUGCAAUCUGUUUUCUCUCUCUGUAUAACAUACAUUUCAACUAUUCUACCUCUGAAUCUGUGGAAGCAUUCUUGUUAAUAUUAUUUCCAAAGGUAUCAAGAGUUAGAUAAACAGAUGAAGGGAAAGAGUGGCUCUCUGCAAAGCGAAUGAAGAGUGCCUUGUUAAUAUUCAUUUUUUUAUAUUUUGUAUUGUUCAUCUUUCGGUGCCAUUGUAAUUUGAAAAAAAUUCUGACAAAGCAUAUGUAGCUUGAUGAUAUGUUGGAAAGGCAUAACUUUAAGCGUGAAUUUCUGUAGUACAUGUUUUCUGAUGUAUUACUAAAAAAAUUUACUCUCUAAUUUGAUAAGAUGUUAUCGGUUGCGAUUCUCUGGCUGCUUAAUGACCCGUUACCCAUUAUAUUUGUGCCUUUAGUCUCUAAUCAUUUCUUAAGAAAUAUGCAAGUUGCUAGACAUGAUAUAGAUAAUCAACUUGUACUGGCUUGCGCAAUUAUCCGUCACCUGCUCAGUUCAACCUNGUGUAAAUGUUACACACGAAUCGAAUUAGAAUUAGGAUUCGGAAUUCGGUUAAUAUCAUAACCAACUUGUGGGUUAAUGGAUAAUCUAAUCGGAAUAGGAUUUCGAUUAGGAUUACGUUAGGAUUUUCUAAUUAUAAAUAUAUGUCAUAUGACAUAUUAAAAUUAAUGAAAAAUUAAGCAAAAAGAAAAAGAAAACCCUAGACGUCAAUCCUUUUUCUUCCUUAAGUCCUCCACAAUUAAUCCAUCGGUUUCGAUCUUCAAAAGUUGCUAGCACAUCUAGAAGAUUGAUUCAUCUUCCUCAAAUCGACGCAAGGGUUAAUUCAUGAUCGGAUUACGGAUUGAAGCGGUCGUCUAAAUUCGAUCAAGGGCGUGAUUUCGUGUGGACACGAGUAGAGGCCAGGUGCGUUAGCGGCUAAGCGAGGACGAAUAAAUUUUUACCAACGAUUGUCGACUUCGCGGUGAUCUCAACCCGCGCGAGGUAAAAUAUAAUAAAAUAUAGAUCCUAUUUGAUUAGAUCAAUUAGAUCUGUUAUUAAUGAUCUAAAACGAAACAUGAGGUGAUCUUUGGUUUUCAAGAAAAUUUUUAAUUGUGUUAUUUUCUUCCGCUACGUACACAUGAUUUUCUUACACAAAUAUUGUGUGAUAUUUUGUCUGGUCAUCAUGAACGAUGCUACCAUCACUUUCGUAUAAGUGCUGCUACAUUUAUUGCACUCUGCGAUGCGUUAGUCAGGAGAGGGUUGGUAAGUAGUACAAGAAAUAUGAUUGCUGACGAACAGUUAGCCAUAUUUCUAUUUGGCAUAGGCCAGGGCGUUGCAAAUCAAAUUAUCAUGGAAACAUUCCAACAUUAUGGAGAAACUAUCAGUAGAUAUUUUAACAACGUUGUACGUGGCAUUAUGAGGCUAAAAGAUGAGUACAUAAUGUUGUCGUCAAAUAAUACUGCCGUGCAUCCAAAGAUUAGGGAUAAUCCAAAUUUUCAUCCUUUCAAGUUAUAUACGCUUUUAUAUAUAAUACAUUGGAUUAUAAAUAUUUUAUUACUACUAAUGUUUUUCAUGUUUUCUUUUCAAUUGUAAAAUGCUAUUAGUGCGAUCGACGGAACACAUGUUCCAUCUGGUAGUCCAAAGGAGUAAACAAGCACGAUUUCUCUUUUGGAGAGGGUUUACAUCACAAAAUAUGAUAGCUUGCCGUGUCAUUUGAUCAUAAUUUUAUAUUUGUAUGCACAGGUUGGGAAGGAUAUGCUGCCGAUAUGAGAGUAUAUUGAUGGGCAUGCGAAAAUGGAGGUUUCGUUGUUCCCGAAGGUAGCCAUGCUAAUUUUUUCCCUCUUAUAAUAUAUAUCUAUAUUAUAUAUAUAUAUAUAUAUAUAUAUAUAUAUAUAUAUAUAUAUAUAUAUAUAUAUAUAUAUAUGAUUAUACUUUUACUGAUAAUACAGAGCUAUUUAACAACUAGUAAUUAUCUUAAUUGCAGGAAAAUAUUACUUGAUAGACUCGAAAUACGCAAAUACAGAUAAAUUUCUUACACCCUAUAGAGGAUAGCGUUACCAUAUUAGUCAAUUUGAUGCUAACACACGGGCCGAGCCUGCGCUGGUUUCCGGUGUGCAGGUGCGCAGGUGCGGGCCCGAGUCCGCAACAGGCCAAGCCUGCGCAGAUGGCACGAGUGCGCGGGUGCGGGCCCGCGUUCGCAGCAGGUCGCGUCAUCCCGCUCGCAGUAAAAAAAAAAUGCACAAAAAACAACGUAUGUAAAAAAAAAUAUUCACAUGUCCUAUGAUGAUCAGAACAAAAAAUUAAAACUAAUUUAAUUUUUUUUUUCCUCUUUUCGAUUUCACAAAGAAACCAAAAAUUGCAGAACGGAUCUACAUCAAGGAUUGAUCAACGAAAAAUAUGCGAUCUAAAACACACGCAUCACAAGCAUGAUCAUAUAAAACGAAAACAAGCAUGCAGGCUCUGAUACCAAUUGUUGGAAAUAAUAGGGCAGCGGAAACUUACAAACCGGAUAGCCAACGUAUCCGGGAAUCCAAAUCGAAUCGGAUUGCUUGUUUUACAAGCCUUCUUGGAUCGUCCUUGUCUCGAUGCUUCUGGAUCUCCCACGUUUCUCGCCUUCUCCUUCGCGUACGCCUUACGUCACGAAUCGGAUACGGAUUUGAUGCGACGGAUGCCAAUCGAAGAGGGCUACCAGAGUCCUCUUCUAUAUCCACACUCCAAAACCCCGGGAACGUAGGUGGAAAUCCCAGAAAGGAAGAAAAGAGAGAAUCGUAGAAUAUUGAAUUAAUUCGAAUAUCAAUCGUCUCAGAUGGGAGAAACAAGGGGACGUAUAUAUAGAAUAACGAAACCCCUAAAUAUUCUGAAUCUCAAAUAGAUUAGGAUAAGGAUUAGGAAAUCUAUUAACAUAUAAUAGAUAUCCACUAAUAGAUACGUUUCUUAACUGAUAAGAAACAUAUAAUUUAUUCUUAUCCUAAACCCAUUAGGAUAAAUCACAAUCCACAUCUUAAGUGGAUCGGGUUAAAUCAAGACCCGCUAAUGUGGACACACCACAUGGCUACAGUUUGAUUCAAUGUGUUGUUAUCUUUGUAACUGUUCGUUGAUUUGAAGAUCUUUUUGGUGUAUAUAAAUGUUUGUGUACUUAGUUAUUUUGCCUACAAAUUUAUAUUAGUUUUUCUGUCUUGCAUUAUGUGAGCGUUGAAUUAAUUUAAUUUUACAGUGAAAGAAAUUUGUAUUUUGUAUCAUACUAUUAUUUUCAAGGUAAUUGCUACUUGAAUCUUUGUAUUUUCAUGUCAGCCUUAUUUAUCUUGCCAGAACUACAAUUAUCUCAAAAUUGUUUUCAUAUGUAGCUAAUAGUUUUGUAAAAAAAUUGGGUAAAGUAUUUGUAAUUUAAAAUUGUUUUCAUAUGUAGCUAAUCAUUUUUACAAAAAGUGGGUAAAGUAUUUGUAAUUUGAACUCAAGAAAAUUUUAAAAUAGAUUUUCGUAAAAUUUUGAUAAUUUCAAAGGCACAAAAGAAUAGUGUAAAAUUAUAUUGGUAACAAAUUACGCUAAAAUUAAUUUAAUUUGACCCCCCGAAAAAAUUGCAAUCAUCUAAAUUUAAAUGCAAAAAUUAAAAGCUCUUAUUUAUAUAGAUUCAUGUGAGGGGUAUUUUGGUCUUUUUAUCUCUAUAACAACCCACUAUUAUUUUUAUUCCACUUACUCCAACCAAACACUAUUUUGUUUAUACUUGGACUAAAUUCAAUUCUCAACCAAACACAAAAUUACUUAACCCCAUCUUAAUGCUGAACUUAACUCUAUCCCUGAAAUAACUAGUUCUUACUUAACCCCGAAACAAACCGAGCCUUAAAAAUUUAUUAAAUAUUAAAAUCUAAACUCUAUUUCCUUUAGACUGGAUUAUAGUUUUCUUUUUUUUACAGUGAGUUAAUAUUACUUCCAAAUAAUACUGAAAGAUUUAAUUAUUAAUAGGUUGGAUUUUAUAGGAUAAGUUUACAAUUAUAUUUAGGAGAUAACGGAAUCCGCUUAUUUACAUCAAAAUAAACAAUAAAAUUCAAAAAACUAAUUUUACCAAUAUCAAGUUACGCCGAAACAAAUAGAAAAGGUGAUUGAAUUUAACUUUCAGAUUGUAUGAGUUAUAUCAAAAUAAGCAACAAAAUAACUACAAUUUAGAAAAAUUCAAAUACCAUUGCACUUGAAUUAUGUUGGAUCUAGAGAUUCCUCAAUCCAAAUGUCUUCCAAAAAUUACAGUUUUGAUGCUAAAAUCAUGUAAGGUGUGGUUGUCCGAAUAUAUUGUAUCUUACAAGUUUACAACUUUUUACUAGUUUGAAAAGAGUCCCUAGGGAAAUCACUGAGGGCGUAUUUGUUCGAGUUAUAUAAUAUUACAGAAUAUUUUGAUAUAUGCAGAUAUCUUGUAUUUUUAAAUAAGAUUACUACUGACACUGAAUUAGCGCGUUUGGUUUAAUGCGGUAAUAUAAUACUGGAUUGCAGUAUUUAUAGCAUUACUAUAAUUGAUUCAGUUUAUAAAAUUCAGUAAUCUUGACAAUAAAGUAUAAUCUAUUCCAAAAUUGCUCUUAGCCAUAUUUUGCAAACAUUUUUUUUUACUGGUUACAAAAAUAAUUUUUUUACUAAAUUUUAUUUUAAAUAAUUUAAAUUUUUUAAAUUUUAAAUUUUAAAUUUUAACAAAAGUAUAAAAUUUAAAAUUUGAAGAUAAAAAAUUUAAAAUUUGAAAAUUAAAAUUCAAACUUUGCAAUUUACUAUUUGACAAUUCAAAAUUUUAAAUUAAAAUUUUUAAAAUGACAUAUUGAAAAGGUUUCAGGUGUUGGAGGGAUAAACUUGUAAUUUUAUAUAAUAUACAAAAUUAGUCGCCUUCAGUAUCCAGCAUACACACCAUCCCGCUCGAUAAUAUUUUCGGUGUUAUCUUAUAAUUUUUAUAAUACUAUAAUAUAUACCAAAUAAAUUAUAUAUCAAAUAAAUUAAAUAUAAAAAUUUUGAUAAAAUUGUCUGUAUUACUGUUCGAACAAUUCGGAUAUAUCUAACGCUACCAAAAAGGGGAGGGCGCAACGUGGAAUUGAUGACUGGAUGAUGAAUCAGAUUGGUGGGUGGGUCUGGGACGACUCAUUAACUUUUGGCGGAAACCAGGCUUUAAUUUCUCUUCCUGUACUUGCAACCAUACAACAGUCACAUGUUGCCCGUUGAUUUGACCCAUGUACCGAUGCUGGGUUACAAAAUACCAUGUUUUUUUUAUGGGGGUAGGUCUAACACUGUUGGGCUCCAAAAAUUUAAAAACUAUUUAAAAUUAAUUCUUAGUAAAAAAAAUAAUUAUAAAUAAUAAUAAUAAUAAUAAUAAUAAUAAAAUAAGUAAAAAAAUAUCUAGACCUUAAUUAGAUAUAUAUAGUAUAAAAACUAGAAUAUACAAUUUACAACUAUAGUUGCUGAUUGGACUGUACGUACGUUUAUCCAUUUGAAAAUUAUAUUCACGUAGUUUUAUGUACACCGUAACCGUAAUGAAUUCAACUCUUCGUCCCAGUUUUGUUUCAUCGAUUAACCUUAGAUGAGCUUCAUUAUAAAACAUAGCUCAGAUGUCUAGUUAAAGUGGGUGGGUGCAUUUAUUCUCAUAUGUACGUGUGGCGUUCGAGGACGACUCUCCGCAUCUUAUCACGACCUAACUGCAAUGGACCAUGCACAUGCAACACGGGUCACUUCACAAUUAUUAAAUGCAACGUAUACCACCUUUACAAGUCACUGGUUGCUCGUAGUUUAGGAAUAGGAGGAAAUUAAUAACAAGUGUAAGUAAACUACGUAGGCUUUUUUAAAUCAAAAGUAAAGGCCAAAAAUCGUACUAAAUUUGUGUGAUGCGAAGGGAUAUCGAAAUAUCAUUUUCAAGCUAAUUAAACUUUUAGAAAAAUUAAUAGGUUCUGUUGGCAAGUGGCAUAUCCACAUCGGCCGAUCUAUUAUUUCAUCCUUAUACACAUAAUAAAUCCAUUAUUUAGUUGAGGAAUAAAGUAGGAAUAGACUAUUUUAUCUCUCUAAUUCAUCCAAACACUAUAAGAGGGAGUGGGUUUAUUUAAUCCCCUCUUAACGGGUUAUUCUAGAAUAACCCAUUAAGAGGGGGAUUUGUUGUUCCACCCUUUUGGUGGAAUAACAAAUUUUUCUCUUUAUACCUCUACUAGUUUAAUAAUAAAAUAUUAUUAAUUAAUAUAUUAUAUAUAUUAUUUUAUUAAUUAAUUAGCUAAAUUAAAAAUUAACUAAUUUAAUAAUAAAAUAUUAGCUAAAUUAAUAAUUAUUUAUUAGUGUGUUUAUGCAAUAACUAAUAUCUUCAUUGAUUAAUAAAUUAAUAUUUUUACCAACAUAGCUAAUUAAAUAAUUAAUUAAUUAAUUAAUUUACUAAUAUAUUAAUUUAUUAGCCUAAUUUGUUAACUUAUUAAAUUAUUUAUAGUUAGAUAAUUUAUUAAUUAACAGUACUCACGCUUAAUUGACUAAUGAUUAAUUAAUCUGUUCAUUAAUGUAUUAAUUAACAUUUAUGAUUAUCUAAUAAUAUUCAUGAUAAAUUAAUUUUUUAAAAUUAUAAAUUUGAGAUUUUAAAAUUUUAAAAUUUAAUUUUGAUUUUUAAAAUUUAAAAGUUUAUAUUUUAAAUUUUAAAAUAUAAAUAUAAAAUAUAAAAAUUCUAAUUCUAAUAUAAAGAAAAGAAUAAUAUUAUUAUUUUUUAUUUAUAACUAACCACUUUAAUUCUUAUUCCAUCUUACCUGAGCAAACGCUAUUUUUCUUAUUUCUAGGAAUAAUCUAAUUUUCAUCCAAAUGCAAAAUUAAUCUAAUCUCCGCUUAUACCUCAAUUUAUACAUAUCUCCGGAAUAUCCACUUUUUGCUUAUUCUCGAACCAAACGAUAUGCAUAAGAUGUAGAUUAUUAUUUAUCUUAAGUUACGAGCAAAAUUAAGUUAUAUAUUUCUUAUUAAUUAAUAAAUAUAUCUACUAAUAUCUUAACAGAUAUUCUUAUUUUUACUUUAUGUGAGAAUCAGGAUGUCUAUACUUAUUCUUAUCUUUUUAUGAGAAUCAGAAUAUUUUAAGAGAUCUAAUAACCUAUAUAUAAACCCUUUUCUCUCUGAUUUUGUAUACGUAAGAAAAUGAUUUUUUUUUUCCCCUUCUUCUCAUUCUACUUUCUCUUUGAAAUUUUCACAUCUCUACUUCUUGUCGAGGGUUUUGGAGGGCAGACAAUUGUAGAGACUCUAAUAGCCUUAUGCGACCAUUAAGCAUAGAUAUCUUGACACAACGUUCAAUCGAAAAUCUAGAAAAUUAUCGUAGAUACAGGAGGUUGUAAGAUAAGUACGAUGUUUCAACUAAGGUCUAAAAUGCCGCACCGUGCCGUAUGGCACGGGGCGGCACGUACCGUGCCACCAAGAAGGUGGCAUGGUACAGGAGGGGUCUCAGACCCCCCUCCAUGCCACGGCACGCAGUGGCGUGCAGCACGAGAUAGAGCGGUAUGGAGCAGCGUGGCAUGGCACUGUGCUUUUUUUUUUUUUUUGCUUUUUUUAUUCCUUUUAUUUUUUUCAUUUUGUUUUAUUAUUUGGGAUAUCCAAAAUAUUCUGUGUACUUCAUGCCCUCAAAGACAUUACAAAUAAAAAAUUUACUUAUUAGAUAAGUCAAAAAAAUUAUAAUUUAAUUUUUUUUGUUUAUCAAUAGACGGACAAAAGAUUUGUCCAAACUCUCCGCUUCUAUCACAUAUAUCUAUUUUUUUCUUCACAAAUUAUUUUAUCAAAAUUUGUCGCACCGUAAAAUUUUUGCCGAAUUAAGAAAACAAAAUCGAACUCAAUAAACAAAUUUUGAGCUACAUCAAACAUAAAAAUUUAUUUUUGCGCUAGAACAUUGAAAAUACUAAUAAAAUUAAAAGCUAAAUUAAAUCAAUUGAUACUUUAAUUUAUUUAAUUUAUUUGUCAUAUAAUUUAUUGCUUAAUUUUUUUGAUAGAUCAACUAAUUUUUUUAAAAGAAUUAAUUAAAAAAUAAUUAUUUUCAAAUACUUUUUAAAAUUAUUUUUAAAAUUAUUUUUUUGUAUUUUAUAAAAAAUGGACUGUAAUAUGGUCAAAAAAAGAUAUCUUUGUAUUUUAAAAAUUCUAAUCUGUAAAAAAUUUUAUUCUUGUAAGGACUGAGAUUUUUGCAGUGUAGCUAAACUCUCAGUUGACGAUAUUUUUGUGUGCAAUUUAAUUACAAAAGCACUCGUCAAGUUUCGGGAGAAAUCGAGUUAAAACGGAGAUUCUACGCGAUUUUCAAGUUUCACUUAAAAUGAAUAGUAACUCGAUUUUCCGGAGAAGCCACGGUGUGAAGUUGGCUUCAGGCUUGUAUCGGACUCCGUUCCUAGCGGUCCAAUAGCUCGUUUCGACCGGGUCAGCUGUUCUGGAACCAAUGACGCUGACGGACUUUGAGUUUGACGCACGGAUUUCGAGAAAAUCCAAAAAUACAUGUUUUAUAUGUAUUUAUGUGUGUGUUUCCUUCUAUUCGAAGAAGGUUGGAUUUUGUCGUGAAUCCGUGGUUGAUCAAGACGAAACGAAAUUGCAGCUUUGUUGUCUCCGUCGUGCUGAUCGUACUGGUACAAUCUGUUCGCAAAUCUGACUGAUGGAUCUGCGGAGAUCGCGCGUUGAUCGAGGAGAGGUCGGUAGUGGCAAAACGGUAUUUUCGCAAAAGUCGCGAUAUUUUAUGUACCGUUUUGCGAGGGAUCGCACGUGGAGGGGCGUUCAUGCGUUUUAGUCGUACUGUGAGGGACUCGGAUUGAAAUUCCGAUGUUUGAGGGGCUUUCUCGCUUAGUUGCACCCUGUAUAUAGUUGUUUUCUAGGGUUUGGAGCCAUCUAACCCUAACCUAGCCUUGCCCUAGCCCCCUAGCCGCCUCCCCCACAUUCCCCUGCUCCCCCUGCGCGCGCCCCGGCCACCUGAGCACGCCGCCGGCUGCCGGAGCUCUCCUCUCCACCCACUCUCCAUCUUUCUCCAUCUCUUUCUCUCUCCCUCUCUUCUCUCGGGUUGUGUGAAGGCCCGGGGCUGCGCCUCCUGCAGACCCUCCCCCUGGAUUUCACCGUGCUCCGGCAACCUUCCCCGCCGACCGCCGCCGUCGCCGGGCGCCGCCGCUGCUGCUCCUGCGGUCUGCUGCAACCCAGGCCGAGCCUGGCCGAGCGGGGUUGCAGCUGCUGCCAGCGCGCCGCCACCGCCUGGAAACCCUCCCGCCGACAUCCCCCGUGCCCGGGCGCCCCUUCCCGCCGGUCGCCGCCACCCCGACGCGCCGCCGUCGCCGCCUCGGCCAGCCGCGGCCGCCCAGCCCGAGCCCAGGCUGUUGUUGUUUGCGGUCUCUUUCCCGCGCCGCCGCCGCUUGGGUCCGCACCCGAGGAGUCCCUCCGACCUCUUGCCACCCUCCUCCGCCGUCCCCGACCUUCCCCGGCCGCCGCCGUGGCCGGAGAAACCCGCCGAGCCCGAGCUUCUCUCUUGCGGGCUCGGGUUGCUUCGCCGACGCCGCCGCCGCUUCUCGUCGCCAACCGAGGUGAGCACGGUGUUCCUCACCUCCCCCGCACCCGCCCCUGGCCCCCGCGCGCGCCGCCGUGCCGCCGGAAGCCGGCCGGAGCAAGGUUGCUCCGGCCAAGCCCGAAAUAGGACUUUGUUUGGGGUGUUUGUUGUCCUGGGCUUUUCGAGCCUCCCCGACCUCUACGGAAGGGAGCACGAUGAUCCUGGCAAGUUGCUGAUCAUCGUGCUCACCUUGGUUUCUGUCGGGAAGGCCCCGUUCCUCCGUUUUGGUGAUGUCGCUCCGUUUCAGCCUUUUUGGCUGCUGUUUCGGGUUUGUGCUUGUUUUUUCGGCGAUCCGAGGCUGUUCCAAUGCCUCCGGAGGUGAGCACGGUGACCGCUGGUCAGUGCUGAUCACAAUGCUUACCUUCCCUUGGAUCAGAAGUGUCCGGUUAGUUCUGUUCGGCGCGAUCUUCCCUGACUGCGCGCUAUUCUCUGAACCUUCGGGUUGCUCCCGCGCUUCCCACAGCGAGCCGCUGUGCUCUGGAUCAUGAGCACGGACUCCGGUACGUCGAGACUUGUCAGUACGUGUCUCUGCGGACUUCCGAAGUCCUCGGUUUGCGUGAAUGAGCCGCUUGAUCGCUCAAAUUACAUAAAAUGAUGAGAUUUUAUGUAAUUAGAGGGUCUUUUAUGCAUUUAUGCUUUGCGUGGCUACUGUGGGCAGUGUGUGGGAGUUUGUAAUGACCGCUGGACUGAUUGUCCAUGAUCCUGUAGUUUUUGCGGAAAUCGAAAAGUCGAUUUUGGUGCGUUUUUCGGCGAAAUUCGGCGAAAGAACGCGGUUUCGGUUCGGAUUUCUUCCGACAUUGUUUGGUUGCUCUGUGAGUAGUCGCUAAGCCUUGUUGGCUGGUCACCAUCAUCACAUUGUGGGUUCGGUGAUGAUGGGUGAGCGACGGUGGGUUCCGGUGUCGAAAUAAACACAUUCGGGAACCCGGAUUCGUACAAUUAUCCGGCGAUAAUUGUGUAGGGGUGUUAUCUUGUGUUUGCUGCCAAAACAUCCAAAUUGAAGUGUUUUGGGGCAGCAGGUGACUCGUGACAUGAGUCGGUGAGUUUCGGGACACUUAGUGGGUCCCGACGGCGUCCCGGUGUGGUUUUCGGGACUUCCGGCGAGUUACGGUAAUCGGUAUUGGGAAACCGAUCUUCAUGAAAUUAUUUGUGGGGUUGUGAAUACUGUGAUUAUUAGUUGUGGGUUAGAUACUAACCCGGUGGACCCUCUAUAGGUCCUGUCGACAUUCUUUUGCAGUCAGGAGANNNNNNNNNNNNNNNNNNNNNNNNNNNNNNNNNNNNNNNNNNNNNNNNNNNNNNNNNNNNNNNNNNNNNNNNNNNNNNNNNNNNNNNNNNNNNNNNNNNNNNNNNNNNNNNNNNNNNNNNNNNNNNNNNNNNNNNNNNNNNNNNNNNNNNNNNNNNNNNNNNNNNNNNNNNNNNNNNNNNNNNNNNNNNNNNNNNNNNNNNNNNNNNNNNNNNNNNNNNNNNNNNNNNNNNNNNNNNNNNNNNNNNNNNNNNNNNNNNNNNNNNNNNNNNNNNNNNNNNNNNNNNNNNNNNNNNNNNNNNNNNNNNNNNNNNNNNNNNNNNNNNNNNNNNNNNNNNNNNNNNNNNNNNNNNNNNNNNNNNNNNNNNNNNNNNNNNNNNNNNNNNNNNNNNNNNNNNNNNNNNNNNNNNNNNNNNNNNNNNNNNNNNNNNNNNNNNNNNNNNNNNNNNNNNNNNNNNNNNNNNNNNNNNNNNNNNNNNNNNNNNNNNNNNNNNNNNNNNNNNNNNNNNNNNNNNNNNNNNNNNNNNNNNNNNNNNNNNNNNNNNNNNNNNNNNNNNNNNNNNNNNNNNNNNNNNNNNNNNNNNNNNNNNNNNNNNNNNNNNNNNNNNNNNNNNNNNNNNNNNNNNNNNNNNNNNNNNNNNNNNNNNNNNNNNNNNNNNNNNNNNNNNNNNNNNNNNNNNNNNNNNNNNNNNNNNNNNNNNNNNNNNNNNNNNNNNNNNNNNNNNNNNNNNNNNNNNNNNNNNNNNNNNNNNNNNNNNNNNNNNNNNNNNNNNNNNNNNNNNNNNNNNNNNNNNNNNNNNNNNNNNNNNNNNNNNNNNNNNNNNNNNNNNNNNNNNNNNNNNNNNNNNNNNNNNNNNNNNNNNNNNNNNNNNNNNCAUGUCUAACGUCCAAAGUCAGAAUCCAAAUGAUGAAAAAAAAAAAAAAAAACUACUUAUUUUAACUAAACCCGGUCGAAUUUGUGGCGUGCCCGAUCCGAACCCGGCUCGAUCCACCCCGACGGACGUGUCGAUCUACGCGACCGAGUCCGGUCCGCCCCAGGUUGUCGGGCUCGUCAGCUCGCGUCUCCGAACCCGGUCCGGGUCGUCGGGCGAGUCGGGCACGUCGGUAGGGGCGCUCUCCUCGUCUGACGCGAUUGGUUUUUAGUAUUAUUUUUUAUUUUUUUCUCUUUUAGCUAGAUGUUUUUAACUAAAAACUUUUUCAUAUUAACCUUUCAAAUGUUUUUCUUGAAGUGGUUAAGAGUAUUUAAAGUAUUAACUUAGAUUAUAUUUAGAUUAUUAUUUUGGGAUUUUUUCUCGAGUAUGGAUAAUUAUCUUGGGAUUUUCUAGCUCAAGUAUAAUUUUACAAUCCGAAAGAAUACAGUGUUUUUGUAUAGGAUUGUUUUGUUACAUUUAGAUUAGACGUUGAAAUCCCAAUAUUUUACAUAUAUUUAUUUAUAUAUAUACCGUUUACUAAACAGUAACCUAUAGUACUUACUUUGAAUACUUUGUUGAAAGAGUUAUAUUUAGCUAAAUUUUUAUAGUGUCUAACUUUGAUUAGUGACAUUUUUUAUUAGAUAUGAUAUCUAAUCAUUUUUAUCAAUCUAACUAUAAGUUCUGCUUUUGCUCAUUUUGACGAGGUUAUGGUUAACAACCUUUUCGUUGCUUUGUGAUUUAUGACGUUUUGGAGUAUGAAUGUUAUCAAAGUCACCUUCUUGAAUAACUUGGGUUCCAAAUUUCACUACAUUGUGCCCCCACACGGUGGCAGACAGACCGUUUCAUGCCGUGGCUGUGCGAAGCGACAGCUGUGUACCAUGCGAACGCACUACUAUCUAUGCGUGCUGGAGGAUGACUAUGCGAAACCAUGUUUGAAUAAAGUCAAAAAAAAAAAAUAAGGUUAUUUGAAAAUAUUAUAAUAAAAUUUUUUAAAUUAGUUUAUUAAUAUUUAUAAACGAUACAUAUCGAAUGAUAUGAGUAGUUAAUUAUAUAAAUAUUAAAAAACAUAUAUUUUAUGUUAAUAUGGUCUAUGUCUUAACAGUGCGGGGCCCUGGCUAAAAUUUUCGGAAUGGUAAAACUUUAGAGUCUCAGCGCCUUCUACACGGUAAAAAAAAAAAAAAGGUUGGACCGGGUGCACUGCAUGUCUGGGCAGUGUUUAUGUUUCAAGGAGACAAGUGAGCCCGUCUCAGAGGAAACAUAAACGUGCCGCAUGGUUGCCUAUGUUGUCCUAGUGUUGGUGUUGGAUGUAAAUUGUUAGUCGUUGGUUAAGUACAAUACGUAAAAGUAUGUCGAUUGUUAGGAAUCUCUACUACGUACGGAGAUUUGUGUGGAAUCUGCAACCUACUACGUUACGUGUCAUGUUGUUAGUAGGAUAAAUUUUCACGAGGGGUGUGUCUUCGAAAAUAAAAAUUUUAGAUUAAGUAAGUAUGUACUUUUAGUAAGUUUUUAGAAAACUUUUGACAAAGGGUGCCUUUGAGAUAAAACUUUUGGCUGAUGGAGCUCCCCAUCUUUUGGUGCUACGCAUUUAGGUAUUUAUGUUUAGGCUCUUGGUGUUUCAUAUGUUUGUAGGGUUUUGACUUCUAGGUAUUUGGUUUAGGUGUUUAGGUGUUUAGGUGUUUAAGUUGGUCGAGUGUUGUAAGUUUGUAGUUCAUACUAGUAGAUUGACUUGGUAUAUUUGAUUGAUUCGAUAUUGCUGUCUUAUCAUUCCUAUUUUUGAUUUAGCUAUUGGACCCAGCCUUCGAGAUAGCUGGCGAUGCUUGCAUGGAGUGCAGAGCAGGGUUUUGAGUAGCGGACGUUAUGGACUUUUUUCCACCCCCUCCACUCUUGUACAUUUGUACAGAGGGGAGGGUCACCCAUGGCGUUCGGCUACUUCCGCUCCUCAUGAGUGGCCUAGUCCUUCUCGACUUUUUAAGCAAUUGUUGUACCACCCAUCUAUACUAAUUUUUUUUUUUUACUAAUGUGAAAAAAUAAAUUUCUUUUGAGGAGUUGUUUUUUGCAGCGUAUUAAUUAGUUCAAUUUGCCAUUUUUUGUUGCUUUUCUAAUUAUGCUUAAAGCAGCUAUGUAAUAUCUUUGCUCUGUGCAUGCUGCGGUUUCUCUCAAAAUAAAUACUUCGGUUCUUUGUGAUUUUCUAUAAAACUUAAUUUGUUGAAAAAAUGAGUUGACUCUGCGGCAUUCCCUUGGUUAGGAUGAUAUUAUAUACAAUUAUUCCAUAGAUUUUGUAACACUUUUUUUUUCUGCAUAAAAAAAUUGUAAUAUUCCCCGAGUGAUGUAAAGGGAGUGUAUUUUGCAUAUCGGCAAUAUUUUUCGGAUUAAAUUUUGACAUUAUUAUUUAUAUUUCACGAUACAUAUAUUUAUUAUUUUGUAUCUUACUAAUGUUUCAUAUCUAUGUAAUAUAUACACUACAACAAAACUAAGCUAUAGCGACACUUUUAAGUGUCCCUAAAACCUAAAAAAAUAAUGCCGGAAAAAAUACCGACACUAAAAAUAGUGUCGCUAUAUGUGCAGUCCCUAGGGUAUAUAAUGACACAUAAUAAAGUGUCGAUAUAUUCCAAAAUAAGUACUACAAUUUAGUGACACUUUUUUUUACUUUUAGUGACACACAUAAGUGUCCCUAGUUUUUUUUUAAAAAGUAAUAUUUUUUUUAUAUAGUGACACUUUAUAAGUGUCCCAUUAUCAUUCAAAUUAUAAUAUUUUAUUUAAACAUCGAGUCUAGUAUUAAACUUUAGUUUAACUAAUAUCAUCAUUUACAUUAAAUCGAUGAGACUCAAAAAAAGCAAUGAAGAAAGUUUCUUAAAUUCUUGUUAAAAAGAUAAAAAUAAAAUCAAAUAUUCAUACGUCACAACAAAAAUAUCCAGUCACUGUAGUAAUUAUAACAAAUCAAACUCUCUAACUGAAAGAAAUACAAAGAAUCAAAAAUUGUAUGAUAACAAAAUCAAAAAGUGUAUAGACGAAUUUUGAUCGGCUCCACGAAUAUAUAGUUGAACCUGCACAUUAAAUAACAUUUGAAUUAGUUCAAGUUUGUGCAACAUCCUUGAUUUGCCAGAGCAUUAAAAAAGAAGAGUGUACUGCCUAUGUUUUAUAACAACAAAAUGCAACAGAAUUCCGCAAGAAAUUAAACAAAUCAUUUUCCGACGAAAUUAGUAUCAAGACAUUAAUAAUCCAAUUCGAAACUGCCGGAUGAAAUUGACACAAGAAACACUGCACAAAAUAAUUAAGUUACACCAUUUAUAGUUCUUCGACUAUCAAAUGAAUAAUGUUGAACUGUUUUAAAUUAGUGCAUAUCAAUCUACAAAUAUCAAUAUAGUAAAAAGCGCUAGUAUAAAUUAGUAAAUUUAUACCAUCGAUUUCGUAAUUGUUGUGAAUCCAAUCCAAAAUAUAAAACAUACAAUUAAAAACAAACUAGACAAAAUUUUAAGACUCUUUAAAUUGAGAUAUAAAAACAAAUUCAUCAUUCAAACAAAUUUAAAUUUAAUGACAUACAAUAAUUGUCAAACAAGAAAAGCCAAAUCAUUUAAUAAAAUAGGAGUUUGCAUAGUAAAUCUCAAUCUAAUCUGAUUACCCAUAUCAAACGAAUCUCCAAUCCAAAUUUGAGUAAGCAAAAAAAAUCAUCCCCAUGUAACUACAUUCUAGUAAGCAAAAGCAGUUUGUUCCAAAUUAAUACAUCUUGGCCAUCAUACUUCAGAAAUGAGGAGUUGCACCAUUAGAGAAAAUGAUUUUAGAGAUGGAUAUAACCUGAAAUUAAGUGAACCUUUUCUUAUUCCUUCAUCCUAAUUGAUCUGCUAUAAAUAAGGAUUGCCUAUCCACAUCUAAUUAGGUUAUGAUUGGACUCCUAUAAAUCUAUUAUGGAAAUAUUAUAUGCUAAACAGCUAAGUGGUAUAUAGGCAGCAGGUCCAGCAAAAAUUACCGAAGUUAAGAAAAGUCCUCAUCAAUAUGUUUAAGAGCAUUAUUUGCACGUUCCCCUCUAAGAAAAGUGAAGAAAUACUAAAAAACUUAGACAAUUGACCUGCCUAAGCAGAACAUGCCUCACAGCUGAAUAAAUGUAUUCCCUAACUGGCUGUCCAGAGGAGAUCAUGUAGCCGUCCUUGAAUUUCAUGGACUUAGCACGCUGAGCCCUAAGCUUUCCACUCACUAUAACCUGAUUAAAUCCCAAGUGAAAAGCUAGGAAUUGUGAUGUCUCAAGUUCUAGAGGAUUUAACAGAAAGCUAUUAUAAAACUUGAUGUUGUAAAGAGAUGAUAAAAUCACUCAAGACUAGACCCUUUUUUUUUUUACACUAACCUCACAACCUUUAGCACUGCUUUCCAUGACAAAUCGGAGUACACCAUAGCAGCCCUGUAAAGAUAGUAACUAUGACACAUCAAAGAAAAGAACAUGUUCAUCUAAAAAGGAACAUGCACCAUUCAGAAGUCAGAGCUGUAAGAACAAGGAAAAUAUUGUAUAGCUAGCACUAAUUUCUCCUUGGCUCUUGGUCCAGCUUGCAAUUCUAGGUAAUGUUGAAACAAAGACUAAUUUAAAAGUUUUGCGACAAAUUAGAUAACUAGUCCAACACGUGUAACCUAACAUUUUCAAAACUAAAUAUGCUCAUAUUCGUAAAAAAACACUUUAUAUGCUUCUAAAUUGAAGGAAACCACAAAACAUGAAUCAGCACUUAUGACUGCCGAAUAUAUUUUUAGAGUUGCAUACCUAGAAAAGCACGUCUAAAAGUUUAAACUUCUAAAAUCUACACGCACCGAUUAGAAUUCUUUCUUUGUUAUGUAAAUAAUAAUAAUACAGAUCAAGAGAAUUCAAUGUCCAAAUGCGACCGAAAAUAUAUCAAUAUGAACGAUCCUCGGAGCAAUAAAGUAACAUAAUCUCAAUAAGCAACACACCUUUCGAUGGAGGAGCCAUAUGAUUGCUCAGAAAAGCUUCAAUAAGUGAAUAAGCUGCAAAAUUAACAAAUUAAUGUAAGAAAAGUUGGAGAACUUACUAGCUAUUCAAUGCACUAUAUAGCCUCUCACCAGAGCAUGAAGAAACUUGAUAUGAUUAUAGUUUUUCAUAAAGAAUGCGGCAAUGUGGCAGAACUUGAUAUUCCAUUCACCACUCGAGACAUAAUAUCAACAAAUCAUGAAUAAAAGUAAAUAAUCUACCAAGCUAUAAAGUGCCGCAACUCCUUAUGUAAAAACUCGACUGCAUAACUAUUCCUCCAAUCCUCAUCACCUUCAAUUUUAUACUUAAAAAACUAGAAACAAUUGAAGCAAUGAGGGAUUUAUACUUAAAAAAACAAAGAAUUAAACCUAGGGUUUCGAGAGUAGUAAAUGAGAAGCGAGAUAAGCUCACCUGGAAGCCUCUCUUCUAAACCCUAGCGCGCCGCGCUCGAACACCAGCGAAAAAAGAGAAUCCGAUAGCCCCCGAUCACACAAAGCGAAUCGAAUGGGCAAUCGAAACCCCCAACCCAAGUAAGACACAACCGAUCUCUCCCUCUGAGCUGGGGACGAGGCGAGUAACACCAAAUCCGAGCAAUUAGAAGCCUAAUAGACAAAAGAAAUAGAGAAAUUCACUACCCCCAAAACCAAGUGAAGCAACAAUUAAAGUAAAAUUUAAAGCCUAAUUUGAAAACAGAGUUUAUAUAGAGUUAUACAAAAAAUACAACUCCAAUAAUCAACUGUUAAUAUUCAGGUAGAAAGAUGAAACCUAAAACCACCCGGAUAUUAUCAUAACUUCAUAAGGCUAAAAUGCAGGAAAGUCCCUACAAAUACCAUGAUUUUCAUUAAAAACACUAUUUCUGAUAGCACUUUUGAAAAUCUCUUUGAUAGCUUUCAGUUCUAGCAAAAAAGUCCAAGCAAAAGUUAAAUUAUUGGUAGUUAGAUGAAACUCUUUGGCUUAGAUUAUGACCAAAAUUACAAAGAAUUUAAAAAUAAAAUUUUAAUUCCUAAAAGAUAUAAUCUACACACUCCCAGGCAAUAACUUCUCUAAUCGCAAAACUUGCUUUGACAUGUUAUAGUUUUCACUUGAUGUAAAUAAAAAGUACUACCGAAUGAACUGCACUACCAACAUGAAAAAACAAGAUAGAUAAGCUGCCGCAGGAAUUCGGAUCUUGUGUGCUAAUUUUAGCUAAAAUGACAAAUAGGAAUAUAAGAAUUCAAAACGAUACGCAUCGACCAAGAAAUUUCUGUCCAAACAAAUGUCAACUGAAUUUGCGGAUAAGGAGCUUCAUAGAGAGAUGUAUGAAAAGAUGAAAGGAAAUUUCAGCACCAUAUUAAGUUUUAAGGGACAAAAGAUUGUUUACAAAUCGAUCACUCAUGAUAGCUUCUGGAUGUAGUUGAGCAAGAAAUCGCCUUGCUUGAUAGUUGCCCGGUAGAAAGCAUUUCUGGCGUCAGGUCGGUUAGUUUCUAGAAUGUUGGCGACUUUGUCUAUCUUGCAGUGAAGUUUUUCGGCUGCUAUGAAGCGAGAAAGUUUCCUGGCAAAAAAAAAAAAAAGUUUAGAUGCAGAUCCUGACCCGUAUAGUUUAUCCCCACCUAAUAACGAAGUCCCCCCAUUAAUCUACCAUAUUAGAAAUAAGCAUCAUGUCAUUUCUGUCAUUAGAGUUCGCCAACAGGUUCCCCAACCUCAAAAAAUUUACAUCAUAUAUAAAUCCUAUAUUCAAAAGAAGCAUCUAUAACAUAACCAUGAUGUAUUCACAAUCAUUGCAACCAACUGGUAUCCAAUUAAGAGUAGAGAAGUAACAGCCCGAAAGAUUUAUGAGUAAUUUGUAACUCUGCGCUUCAGAUUGAUAGCAGCACAUCAAUCAAAUUUACAGCAAAUAGAGUUAACAAAUAUUACAAUUUUUUUAAAGCAAUUAAGUAGUUUUCUUUGGUAGAGUCUUUUGAUCAAACUGGUGGUGGGCACUCUUGGUUUUCAGAGACAAGCCAAAAACUAAAACCAGUUCAAUCUCUCUUCGAACUGAUUCCGAAGCAAUACUACACGGAAAUCGAACUAAAACCGAUUCGAGCAUUUCGUAAGAGCUUAUUCCAUGAGAUUAGAUCGUAAAAGCUUACAAAUCCCUGUUCUAAUGUCCAAAAUCCAAUCUUGAUGAUUCUAAUCCUUCUAUCUAAUCCUUCUAUACUCCAACAGAGUAAAAUUGGUUUAUGCAUUGCACAUCAAAUAGGAAGCAGAUCACCAAAAAAACAGGAAAAAAAAAUUACAUGAAUGGGAAUCGAGGAUUUAAACCUAAUAUGAAUCGAAUCAAAUUCUUAGUAGCACUAAAAUUACCUCAAGCUCCUUAGAUUGGAAUCGAGGAGAGUGGUGUUGGAGAUGUGAUAAUAAUAUCACAUCUCUUACAUUUCUCCAAGUUUUAGUUGGAUCAACGAUUCAAUAAAUACUUCACAAGCUAAAUGAAACCAAGUCGAGUUCAUGUUCAGAUGAUGUGUGCAACUCAAUCAAGCAUAAGAUACGAAGCAAAAUAUAUGCCUCUGUUCAACAAAGUUCAGCUUAUGACAAUGGUCCCAACAAUCCAAUCAGCAAUUUUGGAAGCUAUUUACCUUCUCUAAAAGCAUAUGAAUCACUAAAAGCUUAGUCAAAGAUCAUCUAUAUAAGCCUUAAUUUGUUAUCAAAGCAAGCGAUUCAUGCACAAAGAGAUUCUUACAAGAAAUUACACCCUAAAUCCUCAUGAACAAGAAACCCUACCAUCGAUCGAGCUCACGUUCUUCUCCGUCUCCUCCUUUCGCGCCUUCGACGCAGCGACGAGCACAGCCAAAAAGUGGUCGCCGGACUCCUUCCCCACCACCACCGCCGCCUCGACGCUUGCCGCUCACUCCCUCGGCCACCGUGGCGUCUCGUACUCGCGGCCGAACUCCGGCGCCGGAACUGUAUCUCUUAUAGUGCUACGUCGGAGGAGGAGGAGAGCGAGGGCCUCUAGGGUUUCGGGGGAUCGGGUGAGGGGAGAAGAGGGAUACGAUCCCUUUUUGUUUUUUUGUUUUUUUUUUUUUUUUUUGUGCCUUGUUAGUUUUUUUUUCUAAUUUUAAGAGUUUUUGAACAUAUUUUGGGACAUUUGUACUAAAGUGUCCUAAAGAAGUGUCUCUACAACCUAGUUUUGUUAUAGUGAUAUGAUUGAUUUGUUCCUUUAAUAAAAUCUGGAUUUGUUCCUAACAAGUUAAAAAUAAAUAAGAUUGAAUUUUUAAGCCUGCACAGGGUGAUGAUUAUGAGCUUAGCGAAAUUUUUUAUCGUGUUGUAUAGACUAGAAUAUUUCAAUUCUAUUAAUUAUGUGUGCCUAAUGCACUAUCUUACAAAUCUUAUGCAGUGAAAUGGCCUUCAAAAAUAUGAUUGUUGAUUUACAUAAAGGUAAAAAAUUGGAAAGCAAGAACUAUACUAUUU